rnacentral:lncRNA from 1 species
GUUUCAUAGGUCAAAUGAAUUAUAAUCUGGGAAGCUUGCAUCAAUACAACAUGGGUGACAUUGGACAAUAAAUCAAGCCUCUUAAGAAAUACAAUGACAAGUACUUUUUUCAUCAAAAAAGUGACUUUUGCCUAACCCAGAAGUAGCUUUUUUCUUCACAAUUGAAGAUAGAAGGCAAAAUUCUUUUGUAUGAGUUGCAAAACAAACAAUUGAAGAUAAAAAGGAAUUAACAUUUGGACAAACCUGGUUUAAAAAACGUCCUGCUGAUUAACAAAAAGAAAAUUCUCCGGCUUAAGAUCGCGAUGCAUUACUCCAAGAGAGUGACAUGAUUGAAUAACACCAACUAUAGUUCUUGCAAGUUUAGCCGCUUUUCGCUCUGUGUAGUGUCCUCUUUCCACAAUCCUAUCGAAAAGUUCACCCCCAGAACACAACUCCAUAAUAACAUGAACUGCAACAGCGUCCUCAGAAGCUUCCUUAAUUGAAAUCACAUUCGAACUCCCGGCUAAGUGAUGCAUAAUCUGAAUCUCCCUCCUAACAUCUUCGACAUCCUCGUCUGUCAACAACUUCCUCUUCAUGAUUGACUUGNNNNNNNNNNNNNNNNNNNNNNNNNNNNNNNNNNNNNNNNNNNNNNNNNNNNNNNNNNNNNNNNNNNNNNNNNNNNNNNNNNNNNNNNNNNNNNNNNNNNNNNNNNNNNNNNNNNNNNNNNNNNNNNNNNNNNNNNNNNNNNNNNNNNNNNNNNNNNNNNNNNNNNNNNNNNNNNNNNNNNNCUCUUUCCCAGUAGCUUUCUCAACACAAAGAAACGUAGUUCCAAAUUGUCCUUGUCCAAGUUUUGCUCCCAAAGUAUAAAACUCCUUAAGACUAAUUGUUUUUCGCUGCAAAACUGAAUCUGUUUUGAGUCCUGCACUUGCUAGUUUCUUCACAUUGUGUGGUCUCUUUGGUUUUGCAGGUGUAGCACUGGCAGCUACAACAACUUCAUUCACUUUUGGUGGUUUUUGUUGAGGUGAUUUCGCAUCUUCCAUUUCGAUUUUCACUACAUUUGGUGGCUUGUUUUGAACAGUUUCUUUUGGAUUGGUUUUGUGUGCAUAAGAAGUAUCUUUCUUUGAUCCACGUGGCCAACAAAAUGGAAUUCGAUGUGUAGAGGGAGAUGAUCCAUCUUUUGAAGAAGUUCUCGAUCCAAUGCAGUUGUUUCCCAUCUAACACUAAUUUCUCCCUAUCCCAAGCAUCUAUAAUAAUAUAGCAAACAAGAAACAUGCAAACAAUAAUGUUGUCAAUUGCAGAUCAUGGACAAUAGCAUGGAAAAUAGCACUUUGCACAAAUUUCACUACGCUGCAAAGCUAUAGCGCCUUAUGUAGCACCAACACUUCAUAUGUGAGGCAUGUGUAGUGUACACGACACUUGACACCAGCACUACAUGGACAUAUGUAGUUAGUUACAUUCAAUUACUUCAUUUUUUAGAAUAUUAUUAUUGAUAUCAAUAUGUCGGAGUUAAUUUUUUUCUUAGAUAGCGCUAUUAUAUAUUAACGGCUAUUUGAUAAAACUUUAAGCUAAAUUGCGUAUCGUGGACCAAUAACAUAUUGCUCAAACUCCGUUUCGCUAUAACGAUGCUAUAGUAGCUAUUUGACAACCCUAGAAACCAUAGAACCCUACAAACCCAAAAUGACAAAAACCCAAUUUGUUUUUCUCUUCAAAUUGAAAAAACUAAAAAAAUACAAAAAAAUUGGAAGCAAAUGUAUGAUUACCUUAUGAGCUUGAUGGUGCAAUGCAAUUGAUCAUUGCACAAAGCUAGCAAUAAAUCACGAACAUGCAAUAAACCCAGAUGGUAUCAAAGAUUUAUGUAAAUUUGUGGGAAUGUUGAAAUUUUAUUUGGAAUUAAUGGGAAGAACCGAUUAUUAAACCAACUUCAAGGAACCCAAAUUAAGGAGAAAAAACGUGAUUAAUUAUGAAGAUGGGAAACAAAGGUGGAAACUUUUGAGGGAAUUGAAAAUGGGAAAAGGGAAAUAAACCUUAAUGUGAUAGAAUCAAAAGUGAUUGUUAACGUAGAAAAAUGGAAGAGAAAGAGGGAAAAAAAAGACAUGGGGUUAUACCGUUUUUUCUGUUAGGAAGAUGUAACAAAAUUUGGUGAAAACGCGUUAUAUUACAUUUGGAAAAUCGGACGGAUAUGAUGAUGGGACAAGUGGAGUGGACGGUUUAGAUUUGAUUUCAUCUGUGAUGCAGUUAUUUGUUGCUACGUGCAAUCCCUAUAUUCAUUCCAACGACAUGCUAAACCGUGCCGGCUGUAGCCGGUGAUAUUUUAUUCUCUUGUUCACGUAUUUAUAUUCUAUAUGAAUAUUUAGUGUAUAAUCUUAUCAUUUGAUUCUUCCAUAAAAUAGUUUAGGAUUUGAUUAAUUUUUUUUAAAAACAAAAGUUGACAUUAGAUACAGAAUGUCAAGUACAUUGAACAAGAAAAAAAUAAAAUUGACGAGGAGAAUAUUGCAUAAAUAAAUUACAAAAUGUAUAUUAUAUUAAAUUUUAGGUUCGAUUUGUCUCUAUAAGUCUAGUGGAGAUUAAUCAGCUAAUUCCGUUAAGAUGCUUUAAAAUUGUUGAAGCGAACUGCACAUUAACUCUUAAAAUUUUUUUAAUAUUUAGUAACUUAACAAAUACAUUCAAUCAAAAGAUCGCAAUACUUGGCCAAGUAAGAGAUUAAGAAAAAUUUAACCAUCUACCCUUACAUUUAUAUUCUUACCCCAUAUUUUACACAAACUACCUUUUUUAUUUUAUUUUAUUUAAGUUUUCUGAUAAAGUUCAAUUUAAAAAAAAAAAAAGUGUUAUGAAAAAAAAAAAUUGUAAGUUUUUCAAAACUCCAAUUAAAUUUAGUGGAAUAGAUUUUAUUUCAAAAAAAAAUUUAAAAAAAAAGAUAGUUUAAAUAAUUUUAAAAAAAAAACACGCCCGGUGGGACUCGAACCCACAAUCGCUUAAUUAAAAGUCAAACGCCUUAUCCAUUAGGCCACGGGCGCUACUUGUUGAUAAUUGGUUGUAAUAUUCAAUUAUAUUGCUUUCUUUCUAUUAGAAAUAUUUUCCGAUCUUUCCAUUAUUCUGUUUGUUUCGUUCUCAGCAUUUGUGAAUGUUCAAAUUUGCAGAACGCACCAUGAGAGCAUUAAACAAACUCCGAUCCAUUGAUUCCUAUUUCCUUUCACAAUCUCAUCAUAUUUUUCAUCUUUCUACUUCCUCCAAGUCAUCAAAACUUUCCCACCCUCACAAAACAAUAAAACAACUUUCCAACUCAGACACUGAACCAUCUCGUGCACUUUUCAACGAGAUCACUGAGAUUUUAGGUGCUGAUAACGUAAUCCAUGAUCAUUCCCCAUCUGGGUUUUUGUUUCCCCUCGAAGUUCGCAACACCAAAGUUGGUUUUAUGGAUCAGCAUGAUUGCACCAAAUCUGUUUGUGAAAAUGCCGUUGAGAGUGUUGUACUUGGGAAAGACGAAAACUUUCCCGUUUUGGAAGAUACCCAAUUGGUUCAAAUGGGAGAAGAAGAUAUGCGCCGAAUGGUGGGUGAGAUUACCGAAAUAAUUCGAGCGGAAAAUGGUUCUAUUUCUGNNNNNNNNNNNNNNNNNNNNNNNNNNNNNNNNNNNNNNNNNNNNNNNNNNNNUCGAAGAGCGGUUAGAAAAAAUGGGUUAUGAUGAGUUGAAUGUUGAGGUUUUUGACAGAGUUUUGAAAAGGUGCUUCAAAAUGCCAUGUUUGGCUUUGAGGGUUUUCAAUUGGUUGAAGAUUAAGGAUGGUUUCAGUCACACGACACAGACUUAUAAUACCAUGCUGUGCAUUGCAGGAGAAGCUAAGGAGUUUGGGUUGGUGAAGAAGUUGGUGGAGGAAAUGGAUGAGUGUGGAGUUCAAAAGGAUGUUAAUACGUGGACCAUUCUCAUAUCUCACUAUGGGAAGGCUAAGAAAAUCAGUGAAGCAUUGUUGGCUUUUGAAAAUAUGCAAAAGUGUGGCUGUGAACCUGAUGCAGUUUCGUUUAGAACGGUGAUUCGUUUGCUUUGCAUUUCGGGUAAGGGUGAUAUUGCUAUGGAGUUCUAUAAGGAUAUGGUCCGGAAAGACAUUGCACUUGAUGAUGUGAGGUUGUAUAAGAUGCUUAUGAACUGUUUGGCAAAAUCAGGAGAUGUUGAAGCUGUUAGUUUGCUCGGAAAUGACAUGACGCGGUUGUGUCUGAUGCCGGAAAACAGUAUUCUUGGAUGUAUGCUGAAGAGCUUUUGUAUUUCUGGGAGGAUUAAAGAGGCUUUGGAAUUGAUUCGCGACCUCAAAUAUAAAGAUGUAGUUCUUGAACCUGAAUAUUUUGAGACCUUGGUGAGAGGGCUGUGUAAGGCUGGCAGGAUAUCAGAUGCUUUAGAGAUCGUUGAAAUUAUGAAGAGAAGGGAUAUUGUUGAUGGGAACAUUUACGGCAUUAUCAUAAGCGGGUAUUUGAGCAGAAAUGAUGUUCGCACGGCAAUUGAUUUGUUUCAAAGCAUGAAAGAAUCCGGUUAUGUGCCUAUGAUUUACACAUAUACAGAACUGAUUCAGCAUCUUUUUAGGUUGAGUAGGUAUGAAGAAGCUUGCAUGCUGUAUGAUGAGAUGCUGGGAAAAGGAAUUAAACCUGAUAUUGUGGCUAUAACAGCCAUGGUUGCAGGUCAUGUUUCCCACAAUCGUAUAUCCGAAGCAUGGAAAAUUUUCAAGAGUAUGGAAUUACAAGGCAUCAAGCCUACAUGGAAAUCAUAUUCGGUAUUCAUUAAGGAGCUUUGCAAGGCUUCAAGGACUGAUGACAUUGUCAAAGUGUUGUACGAAAUGCAGGGUUCAAAGAUUGUAAUCAAAGAUGAAGUAUUCGAUUGGGUUAUAACUUACAUGGAAAACAAGGGAGAGCUUGCUUUAAAAGAGAAAGUUCAGCAGAUGCAUACAGCAUCAAAACUCGAUCCUGAAAAUUUCAACGAUUUGGAAAAACAAUCGUCAUCGAGAAAUAAGGUGGAAGAAGAUACAGGAGUCGGCCAAUCAAAGUCAGAGAAGAUAGAUUGCUCGUUACUACAUCCAAUUCUUAAGACUUACAGUGACCAAGAUGUUGGCGAUAUCUGUAAGAUUCUUUCAUCCUCUCUAGAUUGGUCUUCAAUCCAAGAAAAGUUGGAAAAAAGCAGCAUUCAGUUCACACCAGAAUUUGUUAUGGAGAUAUUGCAAAUAUGUGGUAUGCAUGGCUGCACUGUGCUAAAAUUUUUUUCAUGGGUAGGAAAGCAACCCGGCUACAGACACACAGCAGAAUCAUACAACAUUGCAAUCAAAAUUGCAGGCCAAGGGAAAGAUUUCAAGCACAUGCGCAGCCUAUUCUAUGAAAUGAGAAGAAACGGUUAUCUAAUAACAUCAGAAACAUGGACAAUCAUGAUAAUGCUUUACGGCCGAACAGGUCUAACAGAGAUGGCCAUGAAUUGUUUCAAUGAAAUGAAAGCCGGCGGUAAUAGCCCGAGUAGGAGUACAUACAAGUAUCUGAUCAUCGCCUUAUGCGGUAGGAAAGGAAGGAAAGUUGAUGAUGCUCUCAAAACAUACAGUGAGAUGAUUAGUUCAGGACAUGUCCCUGACAAAGAAUUGAUUGAAACUUACCUUGGUUGUUUAUGUGAAGUUGGAAGAAUCUUAGAGGCUAGAAAAUGCAUAGAUUCACUUCAAAGAUUUGGCUACGCAGUUCCUCUUAGCUACUCGUUGUUUAUCAGGGCUCUUUGUAGAGCUGGAAAAGUUGAAGAAGCAUUAGCAUUAAUCGACGGGGUUGGACCAGAGAAAUCGAUUGUAGAAAAGUUAACGUAUGGAAGCAUUGUUCAUGGUUUAUUACACAAGGGUAAAUUAGAAGAAGCACUAGCCAAAGUGCAUGGCAUGAAACAAGAGGGAAUAACACCUACCAUUCAUGUUUACACAUCUUUAAUAGUUCAUUUCUUUAAAGAGAAAAAGAUAGAAAAAGCUAUUGAGACUUAUGAUGAAAUGCAAAAAUCAGGUUAUGAACCAAAUGUUGUUACAUAUUCGGCGCUUAUACGCGGAUACAUGAACAUGGGGAGGCCUAAUGAUGCAUGGAAUGUGUUCUACCGUAUGAAAUUUAAAGGACCAUUUCCUGAUUUUAAAACAUAUUCUAUGUUCCUUUGUUGUUUGUGUAAAGAUGGAAGAUCUGAAGAAGCAAUGAGACUUAUUUCUGAAAUGUUGGAGAGUGGGAUUGUUCCAAGUACUAUUAACUUUAGAACAGUUUUUUAUGGGCUGAAUAGAGAAGGGAAAUACGGUUUAGCUCAAGUUGUGUUGCAACAAAAAUCAGAACUAAUUAGAAAGCGCAAACUUAUAACUUGAUUUCUUUUUCUAUGCAUGGUUGAGAUGGGUGAUUGCAGAGCGUCCUAAUUUUGGAGGGCAGACAACUUGUUUUUUGACUUUGUAAUAUCAUAUUAAAAUUAAAUUUGUUGAAGAGAAAAUGUACUACAUCUUCAAUGAAAGAAAAAGGAAUAGCUAGUUUGAAAAGCAAAAAACUUUAAAGAACAAUGAGGAAAGUAAUUGGAUCAUUGGAAUCUUUUCACAUCUAAUAUUACUUGGAGCAUGCCAAAGUUCAAAUAGAGGAUGAACUUGGAAGAUCUAUCUUGUUGAAGAAUCUGGAAGAUUUGUCUUAAUAGUUGAUGCAAAAAAUACCAUGAUUAAAAUAUCUUAUAAUGUACAUGGCAAACCUUUGAGUCUCUUAAAGAAACUUUUAUGAUAUUAUAGAUCAACCAAUUAGUUUCGGCGAAGAUUUGAGAACUAAGGGGCCAUGAGAAAAUACUAUAUUAGUUUAGACAUGAAAGACAAAAACCUGAACUUAAAAUUAUGUUGGAAAUAUUUUGAAAUUCAUUUAAAAUAUCAUAACCCUAAAAAUCUCGAUGAUAAAAUUUUUGUUUGAAAAAUUAAAAGUAUAUAGAGUUUGAAAAAAAUUUGUCUGCAUCAAAUUCAAACUCUAUAAUUGAGUUCUUUGGACAAUUUUAAUUGUUUUUCAAAUUUCAAAUGCAUGUACAAUUUAUAGAACAAUACUUACUAUGACGAUUACUAGUGUAGCUAGUUAAAUAAGUAUUAAAAACUUUUGAAAAUUUAUAAUCUACGUAACAAAAUAUAUUAAAUUGCCUCACUUUGAUUUCUAUAAAAUAUUAUUCUUUUUUUUCCCUUAAUAUUAUUCUUUUAAAUGAUCUUAAUAUGAAUAAUUCUUAAUUAUUUUAUAAAAAAGUUAUUAUAGUUAAAGAUAUUUCUUAAUUACCGAAGACAUUAUAACAAAUGUUAGUAGUUAGUAAUUAGUUAAGGGAAAAGAAAAUUGUUACUCUCAAAAUUAAAAACAUACUUCAUAAAACUCUUUCUACAUCUCAACUCUUACAUCUGAACUACUUUUUCAAUGUGAGAUCAAUAUUGACUAUAAGAGCAUUAAUAUUGCAUAGGAGCCCAAAAAACAUCAAAUUGCACACAUACUAGUUAAGGUGACUCAAUUCACAAUUAGUACUCAUGCUUUCUAUCAUGUUUUUAAUUUUUUUUAUCAAGAAAUCUACAUUUUUGAACAAGUAAAAAACUCAUUUUAAAAAACAAUUAUUUCUUAUUGUAUUAUAAUGUUUUUCAUAUACAACUCUUACAUAUCAUCACUUCAACAAUUCAGGAAAUAAUUUAACUUUUAUUUAUCAAGAUUUUGAAUCUUUUAUCCGUACAUAAUGAAUGCUAAGUAUGUAUUUACCAAUUUUAUUCUUGAAUUUACAAAAAAUAUGAUGUUAUUAGUUUUUUUUUUAAUUAAAAGCAUAUUAUUUAAUUUUAAAAUCCUAUCUUCUUUAAACUAUAUUUUUGAAACAAAUUCCUUUAUUUGCUACCUUUUUUUUUGCUGAAUUUUAUUUACUGUCCUUUAAACUAUUGAUUUUAUAAACAAGUUUAUCAUUUUUUGAAUUAAAAAAUAAGCAAAACCCUUUAUUUACUAUCUAUUUUUUACUGAAUUUUAUUUACUGUCCUUUAAACUAUUGAUUUUAUAACAAACUUUACCCUUUCAUGAAAAAAAUAAGCAAACUUUAUCCAACUAUUAAGUUUUUUAUUGUUUUCAAAUUUAAAUUUAAGAUAAUUUUGUUGCAUUUGUUUUCUUCGAAAAAAAAUGUCAUAAAAUUAAAUUUUCAAUCAAUAGUAUAUAAUUAAAUUAAUUAUUUUAAAUUUUAUUUUUAAUAUUUAAAAAAUAUUAUAUAAAAAAGCAUUAAAUUAUUUUAAUUUUUAAUUUCUAUCUAUACUCGAUCAACUUUCUUUUGAAACAAAUUCUUUUAUUUACUCGUAAAAGAUUUAAAAUCUUUAAAUUGUUGAUUUUGAAAAGAAAAAAAACUUCGUCCUUUCAUUAAAAAAAUAAACAAACUUUAUCAACUUUAAGAUAACUUUUUUUUGGAUUUAUUUAAUGGUAAAAAAUUAUAUUUUCAAUCAAAAGUAUAUAAUUGAUGUUCGCAAGAAAAAAAAUAUAAUUAAAAGUUUAAUGAGUAUGUAUCGUCGGUCUAAUUUUAUCCUGACGGUGGAGAGUCUUCUUUUUCUCUAUAAUUAAAGUAAUUAUUUUUUAAUUUAAAAAUAUUUUUGAAUUUUAUUUUCGAAUUAAGAAUUAUAAUUUAAACAAAAAUAUUUUCAAAUUUGAAAUAGUUUUUAAUUAAAUAUUUUAAAAGUCUAUCUACAUAUAACUAAAUUUUAAUUAAUUCAUAUUGCCGCUUAUAAACAUCAAAUUGUAAUCAGCCUAGUUAAGGUGACUCAAUUCACAAAUAUAAUAAGCAUUCAAAGAAAACAAAUACAAUAAAACCAUCCACGGAGAGUAUCGGAGUAGGAACCUCCAAAAUUUAAUACCAAAUUUGAGUGUACAUUAAAUAUUUUAUAAAGUUAACAGGUUUAGUUUACCAAUAUAACAACAAAAAAUCAAUGGACCUUCAGACAGGGUAACAUACAGUUAUCCAGAGUAGAAGUCAUCCGAUAAUAGUUUAUUCGAAAAAGAUCCAAACACUAUUCCCAGCUCACAAAACGGACAACGACAAACAACCAUUUUUUGAACUAAUUAGUUUUAUAAAAUGAUAAAGUUUCUACAUUGAGAAGAAAGAACUUCAAUUAGAAUCAGUGUUGUCAAUUGUGAAUUGAAAAAAAUAACAGUUUGUUCAAAUUUCACUAUAGCAGAACGGAACAAUAGUGAUUUGUUUAAACACCUUUAUGCUAUAGCACUUUAGCGGCUAUUUGACUAUAUUGAAUAGAAUACAACAAAAAAAGUGUCUUACAUUUGGUCUUAUUGACAAAAGGGUCAGAAUUCAAAUCCACGCCCAUCAAGUACGGUGAAGCUCCGAUCAAGAUUCUUUUGCAUCAAUUGUAUUUCUGAAUGAUUUGAAUUGUCAAUGAUAUUCUCAUAACAGAAAAGACAUUUUUGUCAAAAUUAAUUUCUUCAACUCACUUGAGUGACUGUGAGUCAAGUUGCAUGGUAACCGGUCCAUCAUUAACCAAAUUUACCUGCUCAUGGUCACAAGUACAAGUGUGAAUGUGUGAGCUCAACACAGGAAUUGUUAAAUAUCUCAUCAAUAAACUUAUACCUUCAUCUGCGCACCAAAUACACCAUCUGCAUAAAAAUCAAAAGGGUCUCAGAAACAUACCUGAGAAUAUAACCGAAUUCUAAAAUGAAUCAACACAAAACAUCACAAAUUACAGCUAAGACUGCUUAGAUAAUCUGUAUCAACAAGAUUUACAAAACAACUAAUGUAUUUCUAACUAUAAUGCUAGGCAUUCUUAAAAUUGUGUUUUUAUAAUUUGACUGCCAAUCAGCCAAAAAGACUUGGUUGUAACAUUGUUAGUAAGAAGUAACGAAGACAUCGGAAAUAAUUUUUUUUGGAUUUAACAAUAACUUGAUUUCAUAGAGAGCAAGGAAAUAUUGCAGUCAGCCAGGUAAGGCUACCAAAACAAUUAGGUCUUCAUGAAAAACAAAAUUUUUACUUCAUUAAAAGCCUCAAAACAAAUUUUACUUCAUAAAAAGGCUUCAGAUUUUAAUAUUUUUAAAAUUAAAGAUAAAAAAUGUUUUCUAAAUAUAAUAUUGUCUCAACAAUAUUAAAUCACUUAAAAAAGAAAUAUUACACGGAUGUUAUAGAUUGUUUUAUCUUAAAUUACUGUUGCGGUUUUGUUCUUGGCGUUAAUAUAACAUUGUAUCAGAGUGGGGUUAAAGAUAGCAAUAGCAACGUGGGAAUAGUAGAAACACAGAUAGAUAACAUACCCUUGAUUGCAUCAGAGUUAUAGGCGCUCCUAAACCUAUCUACUAAAGAGGCAUAGAAGGGUUUGGCACUCUGAGGGGACAUUGCCACGUGGAAAUCUGGCUUGUUACCUUUCAAGAAUCCAUACAACGUAAAUUGACUCACUGUAACAAACAAACAAUUAGUAGAAGGAAUUACUACAAAAAAUAAAAAAAAAGAAAUGCAUCAUUAAAAUCAAUUUUGCAUAGUUGUAGUUACCAAGUAAAACUUGAUAAUUUUUGAGCAUGACACUGUGGUCCCAUGCUUUGCCAGUAUUUUCAUUUGGGAAGAGCCUCAUGUUCAACACCUUUCGACAUCUGUUUAAAAAGUAGUAAAUAAAAAUGAAGAAAUUAAUUCAGUUGAAAUUUGAUAAAGAGAAAUACAUGUAAUCGGCGUCGGAGUCGGAGUCGGAAUCGUGAAUUCCAACGAGAACGAGAAGGCCAGGGCCAAUCUCCGAUACGAUGCGGCCUUCGACUUCGACGGAUGCAGAGGAGACACGCUGAACAACAGCUCGCAUCGCUCUCACUCUCACUCUCACUCUCAAAACCCUUUUGCUUCCGUUGUUGUUGUUUAAGCCUACACACGCAAAUCUACACGACCACAAAGAGGAUUGCGCUUGCAUCAUCUUUUUUUAGUAAAUUAAAUUUUGAGACAUGUAUUCUAUGUUUGAUAUUUUAAAAAGUUAUUUUUUUUACUUAAAUUUCUUUUUAUUUUUGUGUGAAUAUCUUUUUUGGAUAAACUAUAGUUUUUUUUCAUGUGUUUGAAUUAAUAUUUGUUAAUACAUUUUUUAAUAAAUUUUAUUUUGAUAUAUUUUUAGUUAAAAUCAAGUUUUUCUAACCUAAUUUAUAUUUGUAUAUUUUUUUAUAAGUAUUAUUUUAUAAAAUGAAAUUUAUUUAAAUUAUAUAAUCAAAUAUAUAUUUAUAAAUGUGUAUCUAUUAGAAAAAUAUACAUGUUAUUCAUAACAAGUUAAAAAAAAUUGUGAAUGAAGUUUUUGGUAGGACUAAGUCUGGUGUUUUUUUUACUAUCUCACACUAACAGAAGUUUUUUUAUGUUAAAAUUGUGUAAUUUCUAUUUAUAGAUUUUUGCAAAUAUACACACUUUAGUUUUUAUUGUUUUCUUUUAGUCUUUAUAUAACUCACUCACUAGUACAUUUAUUUAUAACUCACUCUUUAAUACAUUUAUUUAUAAAUAAAUUCUAAUGUAUGUGACUAAAGAAGUCUUUAAAUUAUAAUUCAACAUAUUAUUAGGUUGAAUAUAAUGUCUCGAAGUUGAAACUUUGGAAUUGUGUGAGUUUCUAGUAAUAGUUAUAUUAUUUCAUCUAUAUUAAGAAGGAAAAAAAUAGUUAUAAUCAAUUGAUAUUAAGUAUAUAUAAAUUAAUUAAAUACUUGAGAUAUAACAAUUGAAUUUAGUUUGUUAUUCGAAUGACUUCUCUUUAAAAUGCAUUUUGUUUAUUUAGAAUUCACUUUUUUCUAGGGAGAUUCAAAAUUCACAUGAAAGUUUGGAGUAAAUCAUUAUCACACAUAGAUCAAAAUUCACAUGAUUAAAAUUUGUAGAAUAAAGUUUGGUUAAAUCUCAUUUUGCCAAAGUAAGAUUGGUUAAAAUGAAUUUAUUCUAAAGUGAUUUAUAUUUGAAUAACUUUUUUAAUACUGGUUAUAUAAAAUAUAACGAUGAGGGAUCAAAUUACAUCUAAAUAGUUAUUUUAAAGGAUACAUUCAUUUAAUAAUAUCGUGUUUGAUAAAUAUUUUUAAAGAUAAAUCGUUGGAUUGAAAGUUAAUAUCAUAGAAAACAUAUCUAUAAAUUUUGACAUUAAUUUAUAAUUAUUUUUUAUUUCAUUGAGAUUUGUUAAAAUAAACGUCAAUCAUAUAUUUAUAUAAAAUGUUGUUUUUAACGCAUCUUAAAUAGGCUUAAUUGUAGUUUUGAUUCUCCUAUUUUAGCUGAAUCACGAAAGUAGUUUUAGUUCUUAUUUUAGCUGAAUCACGAAAGUAGUUUUGAUCCCUAUUUUAGCAUCUUAAAUAUUAUCAAGCUUUAGAAUAUUCUAUUCUUGUAGCAGCCACUGCUUCGGAUCAUGCACCUCUGCAAUUGCAAUUUAUGGCCCCACCAGUGUGAUCUCUAUUACUGAUGGAUAAAUAUGUUUGGAAAGAGAGCUCUUUUAUCGUGGAAUUAGACCUUCGACUUAUCUGUCAGUACGUGUCGGGUCUGUUGCUCAGUUGAAAGUUAUGAAACAAGUCUGCAAUAGUUUAAAACUGGAAUUGGGACAAUAUCACGAAGUGGCCGCCUUUGUUCAAUUUGGCUCACACCUUUGAUGAUGCGACUCAAACAUUACUCAAUAGAGGUGGAAGGCUUACGAAACAUUUAAACAACCACAACACCCCCACACGGGUACGAGCAUAUCAUAAUAUAAUUGGAUAAACUCUCAUGUGUGAAAUAUAAUUGGGAAUGAUAAUGAUAAUAAUAAGAGCUAGUUUGUGUGAAUUGAAAAAAAAUAAGGAAGUCCCACAUAUAAUGCACACAAAUAGACCACCACAUACACGCGCCGUCACCGUUGUUCGUUUGGACCAGCUCGGUUUGAGUCGGGCUUGGACUAAGUGGUAAAUUUUUUUUUUUUAAUAAAUACGUGUGUUUUUCUCAUUGAUAAAUUGUACAAGUGUCUUCCAUCCACCGAGUCAACAUUUAACAUCUGAUCUAAUCAAUUUCUCAUUGAUAUGUUGUACACGUGCCUGCCCUCCACCGAGUCAACAUUCAACAUCUGAUCCGGUCAAAUUUUUCUCUGAAUUCGCACAUCAGUUUGCCUGGUCAAAACCUAUAAAAUUUUGGAUUGUAGUUUUAUGUGGAUCCAAUUUUAUGGAUCACAGAUUUUUCUCACCUUCAGUCGCAUAGUUCUUCUAUAAAUAGAGCACUCUACUCAGUUAGAAACGCACACCAAAAGUUCUCCGAAAAUCCGCGAUUUUUAUUUGCUUCUCCCUUUUUGCUUUAUCUUCUUUUCUUUCUUUCGAGUGGUCAUUAGUACCAUAUUACGAGUGACCAUUUUUAACUUCCAUAUCGAGGGUGUAAAUCUAGAAUUGUUUUCUAUGGUGCAGUAGAAUUCCGAUAUAAUUUGUUUGAGUAGUUUUAUCCUGGGGAGUUUCAUGGUUAAUAGUCUACCCUGCACAAUUUGAGCAGUGUCGCGAAACGUCUUAAAGAGAGCGACUUAUUCUGCGACUCAACCUAAUAAUAUCUUCGGUGGCAUAAGUUUAUUUUGAAACAGUUUUUCGAAACUCAAAAAUAAAAAUUUUAAGACGUUUCCUUCUGCCAUGUCUACCGACAAAAUUACUGGGACAUAUUUUUCUGCUUCUGAUUCCAACAAAUCAUUUCAUUUUGAGGGAUAUCACUUCAAACGACGACAACAAAAUAUGUUAUUUUUCUAAACCAUGAAAAAAAUUGCUAACGUUCUAAAUGAUGACAUUCAUGUUGUUCCAAAAACAGGUGAACAAACACAAAAUGAUAAGAAUGUUGUUGAAUUAACCCAAUGGAACAUAAUGUUUACUUAUGUAAGAAUUAUAUCUUAAUGAAUUUGUUGAUGAUCUGUAUGAUUACUACAAUUUCAACAAUACUGCUAAACAAGUUUGGGAUGCUCUAAAGAAGAAAUAUGAUACUGAGGAAGUUUGAGCUAAUAUAUUAUUAGCCACUACCUCAAAUAUCAUAUGACCAAUGACAGAUCAAUGGAAGCCCAGUCCCAUGAAAUACAAAAAAUAGCCCAUGAGAUCAUCUAUGAAUAUACGUUCUUAAAUGAACAUUUUCAAAUUGCUGUUAUUAUUGACAAACUAUCCAUUGCUUUGAAAUAUUUUAAAAACUCUCUCAAGCAUAAAACAAAAGAAUUCUCUCUAGGAAGUUUGAUAACCCGCCUCAGAAUUGAGGAAGAAUCUCAAAAGCAAGACCCGAAAGAUGAAGUUCUUCUUGUUAGAAAUAACAAGAAAAAGAAAUUCAUCAAAAUCACACUAUAAAGAACAACAACAAGAAUGAGAUCCCUCCAAAUGUACCAAUUAUAAGGCAGCAACCACCUCCUAGAAAUGACCCUAAUCUCGCAUUUUUUUGCUUUAGAUGUGGGAAAGAAGGUCAUAUGGCACGCAAGUACAAGAACAAGCCAAACUCUGCUCAGCAGACUAACUUGAUUGAAGAGCAAUUCAUUGCUAUAAUAACUGAAAUCAAUAUUGUUGGUGGAUCAUACAGAUUGUGGAUAGCCACUAGCGCCUCACGACUUGUCUAUUAUAAUCGUGCUAUAUUUAAAACAUACAUUACUAUUGAAGAUUAGAAAGUGUUGUUGGGAGAUUCCCAUACCACUGAUAUUGCAGAUAUUGGAGAUGUGAAAUUAAUAUUCAUGUCUAGAAAUAAUUUAAUUAUGAAGAAUGUGAUACACACUUUUGAUUUAUGGCAAGAAACUAUAAACGAUGAAAUUGAUUAUCUAGAGUCUAAUAGGACUUGACAUUUAAUAGACUUUCCUCCUGGUUGCAAAUCGAUAAGUUGUAAAUAGAUUUUGAAAAAUAACCUAAAAUUCGAUGGAACUGUUGAUAAAUAUAAGGCCCACCUUAUAGCCAAAAAUUUUAGAUAGAGAAAAUAUAGAUUUCUUUGACAUUUUCUCACCAGUCACUAGAAUAACAUCCAUUAGGGUACUAAUUUCACUAGCAGCUAUUCAUAACUUGGUGAUACACCAAAUGGAUGUCAAAACAACUUUUUUAAAUGGUGACCUGGAAAAAGAAAUCUAUAUGGAACAACUUGAAGGUUUUGUGAUUCAUGGAUAAAAAAACAAUGUCUAUAAGUUAGAUAAAUCUUUGUAUGGUCUUAAAAAAGCUCCUAAGAAAUGACAUGAAAAGUUUGGUAGCUUGAUUAUAUGGAAUGAGUUUAAAGUGAAUGAAAGUGACAAAUGUAUUUAUUACAAAUAUGAAAACGACAUUUGCACUCUCAUAUGUUUCCAUGUAAACGACCUACUCAAUUUUGAUUCAAGCAUUCAUGUUGUGAAUAUUGUGAAAUCAUUGUUGUGUAACAACUUUGAUAUGAAAGACAUCGAAGAAGCGAGUGUAAUCCUUGGAAUCAAGAUUACUUGGUCAGAAAAAAGGAAUUUCUUUAGAUCAAUUUCACUAUGUUGAAAAGAUCCUAAAGAAAUGCAAAUACUCUGAUUGUAAGCUUGCUUGCACACCAAUGAUCUAAGUGUGAAACUUUUCAAGAACACUAGUUAAGGUGUUAGACGAACUGACUAUACAAGCAUCAUUGAUAGCCUCAAAUAUGCCACUAACUGUACUAAACCCGAUAUUGCCUAUGUCAUGGAAAUAUUGUGCAGGUUUACUAGUAGACCUAGUAUGGAACAUUGGCACGCUAUCGAAAGAGUCAUGAGAUACUUAAAAAGGACCAUGAGUCUUGGAUUAUAUUAUCAAAGAUUUUAUGUUGUCCUUGAAGGACAAAGUGAUGUUGAUUGGAACACCUUAUCAAAUGACUCCAAAUCAACCAAUGGUUAUAUUUUUAGUAUAACUGAUGGUGUUGUAUCUUGCAAACUAAAGAAAUAGAUGAUACUAGCUCAGUCCACUAUGGAGUCUGAAAUGAUAACACUAGUUACUACUAGUGUAGAAGCGAAUUGGUUGAGAUGUUUGCUAGUUGAGAUCCAUUUAUGGGCAAAAUCAAUGGCAGCUGUGUUGAUCCACUACGAUUGUACCGUGACUAUUGCAAAGAUUGAUAUUGUUAUUAUUACAACGGUAAGAGAUGAAAAGUAUGUCGUAAGCACAACACUGUUAGAGAGUUACUUUCUAAAGGAGUUGUUAUAGUGGAUCAUGUACGCACUGAUGACAAUUUAGCAGAUCAUUUGACGAAAUGAUUAGCUAGAGAGAAAGUUUUAAAUACAUCCAAAGGAUUGGACUGUUUCCUAUAGAAUCACUCAAGAUGGUAACCCGACUUAAAAGACUAGAGAUCUCAAGAAUUAAGUUCAAUGGAUAAUAACAAGUCAUAGUGAUAUGAGAUUAACAUGCUAUUAUAUUUCAAAGAAGCAUAAUUUUUGAAGCGAUGAAAGGAUGAAAUAAUAUAAAAUCUUAAUGAGAUCUAUACUCUAUGCAAAGUGGAGUAUCUAGCUGCAAAGUUACUCUUGAUAGACUCACCUAUGUCAAUGUGGAAGCGGAGCCGCUUUCUAUGGAAUAUCGAGGCAUAAUUCCUAGAUCAUUCACUGUAUUGAGAUAGACGUNNNNNNNNNNNNNNNNNNNNNNNNNNNNNNNNNNNNNNNNNNNNNNNNNNNNNNNNNNNNNNNNNNNNNNNNNNNNNNNNNNNNNNNNNNNNNNNNNNNNNNNNNNNNNNNNNNNNNNNNNNNNNNNNNNNNNNNNNNNNNNNNNNNNNNNNNNNNNNNNNNNNNNNNNNNNNNNNNNNNNNNNNNNNNNNNNNNNNNNNNNNNNNNNNNNNNNNNNNNNNNNNNNNNNNNNNNNNNNNNNNNNNNNNNNNNNNNNNNNNNNNNNNNNNNNNNNNNNNNNNNNNNNNNNNNNNNNNNNNNNNNNNNNNNNNNNNNNNNNNNNNNNNNNNNNNNNNNNNNNNNNNNNNNNNNNNNNNNNNNNNNNNNNNNNNNNNNNNNNNNNNNNNNNNNNNNNNNNNNNNNNNNNNNNGUAGGGAAAUUAGUGCACAAGCACUUGAGAAUACAUCCUACGAAAAGGUUGUGUGUGGGUUUGAUGUCAGAGAUAGAGUUCAAGACUACGAGUCACUCUUAUUGAAUAUGAAUAUUACUUGUUAUGCAAAGGUUCAAGUUAGGAGACAUCUUUGUUUAUGCACGAUCUUAUAGAAGCAUUUGACGCUACUUCAAAAACUCUUUUUUAAAUUCAAGUGGAGGGUUGUUGAAAAUGGUUAUGAUAAUAAUAAGAAUUAGUUGGUUUGAAUUGAAAAAAUAAUGAAGUCCCACAUAGGAGGAAUGACAUACACUAGUAGUAUUUAUAAGGUGGAGGUAUAACAAUUGAGGUGUGCCCCAAGAGGUACUCAAUUUUGUGAAGGGAUGAGAACGCACACAAAUAGACCAUCACAAACGCGCCGUCGUCCGGUCGGCUCGGACCUGGAGUUGGGCUAAGUGGUAUAUUAUUUUUUAGUAUCUGAAAAAUUUUAAAAAAAAAAAAUUUUUAGUAAAUGCGUGUGUUUUUUCUCAUUGAUACGUUGUACAUGUGUCAAAACCUAGCAUUUUUCGUGUUUUAGUUUUCUGCGGAUUCCCGUAUCAGUUUUUUGUCCUGGACAAAACCUAGAAAAUUUUGAAAUGUAGUUUUUUGUAGAACUCCAAUACGGUUUGUCUGGUUGUUUUAUCCUGAGGAUUUUUUGGUUAAUAGUCUGUCUUACACAAUUUGAAUAUGUAGCAAAACGUCUUAAAGAGAAUGACAUAGUCCGCAACUCAACCCAGUUAUAUCUUCGGUAGCAUAAAUUUAUUUUGAAACAAAAAUAACAAAAUAGAAUGAAAGUUAUAGAUAAUUUAAGUAGUAAGAAACGCUCAACUAAGGAGUGAUGACGCUGAUGUGAGAGAUGUCAUGGUAGAUAGGGAAUUUGGUUUGGAUAAUCAAGAUAUGUCAUAUACGAUGAAUGAGAUUCCAAUGAAAGAGUCGAGAGCCAAAAAAAAAGGCCUUCGACUUGUCUUGUUUAUGGAACUAGCCUGACAUUUCAGCAUAUUCUUUCAAGAUCUUAAGAAUCUCCUUGGCAUUAGAGAUAGAUGCCGCACAAAAAAAAAAAACAAAAUGUCAUCAGCAUACAAUAAGUAGGACGAGAAAGGCAAACCACAUACCCAUACAAAAGCCUGCAACGAACCCAUUGGGCUUAAAUGUCAAUAUAUCGACUAAGCAUUUCUCCUGCAACACAAAAUAACAAUGGAGAAAAAAAGUUUCCUUGUCGAACUUCACGUGAAUAGGUGAAAUAGCCCAUUGAAGAACCAUUAAUAAUAGUCGAUAUAUGUAUUAUCUGAAUGAAAAAUUCUAUAAAAACCACACAUCUUAAUCUAAAGUAUGGUCGUCCGAACACAAUCACAUUGAUAUUAUCCACUAUAAUAACUUUAUAGUUUGAAAUUCAAUUCUAGUGUAACCCUAAGCUAUAAAAUGAAAGAUUCACAAUCCUACACAAAAAAUAAUCAAGUUUCAAUUGUAAAGUAAUAUAAGAUAUAUAAUAUAGAGAUUGCAUUAUCUACGAAAACAAUAGUUAAAGCGAUUAAUAAACACCAAUAAUCAAGUCAAUCUAGAAUACGAUUUUAGCUAUAAAUUACUAUAUAUAUCCAAUACAAAAUUAAUAUUUUAUAUUAUAUAACACGUAGAAGCACGAGAUCAUAGACUGGUUAAAUAUAAAAUUUUAAUAAAGAUAUAAUAGUAUUCUCUUGAAAUCAUAUUUACAUUAAAUUGAUGGCUAAAAUAUAAUUUUAAUUUUUUAUCUUUUAUUUAAUAUUUAUUUAUUUUAUCUUUUAUCUUUUAUCUUUCUUUUUUUCUUUAUCUUUUAUGAAAUAUUUAUUUUAAUUCUUAAUAGAGAGACAAACUUGUAUACUUUUAUAAAAAAUAAAUGAUUAAAAUGAUUAUUAAAUAAAAAAUAAAAGACUAAAAUAAAAAUAAAAAGACCAAAACAUAUUAAAAAAAUAAAUGACAAAAACAAAUAUUAAAAAAAGAAUAAAAUUUAAUUAAAUUUAAGCCUAAAUUUAUAGAAAGAAAAAAAAUUUAUUUUUAAAAAAUAAAUCAAAGAAAUACAUUAUAGAAGCUAUCCAAGACACAAAGAAGGUUGAAAAUAGAAAAUAUAUAUACAAAUUACAAAGUAAGAAAAUAAACAUUUAUUAUUAAUAUUGAUUAUUUUUAAAAAUAAAAAUUAAACCACUAAAAGUCAAAAUCACCUACCACCGUCCGAAUACCAAAACCCACUAACAUUUAAAAUAAAGUAAACCAAAGACUCAGCACAAGUAAGUGGUAUCCACCGAUAAUAUAACCUAAACUUAAAAUCCUAAAAUUUGUUUUAAGCCAAAAAUAAUAACAAAAUUGUUAUAUAUAUAAUACUGUAAUCCUCCAUUUUUUAUAACUUACAAACAAAGGUUCAAGUAGCGAUAUAUAGUUAACUCUAAAGUUGUAAUUACAAUAACAUGACUUUUAUGAUGAAAAAAAAAUUUCACAUGAGAUUAAUAAUUAUGGGGGUAGUUUUGUAAACCACCCAGUGAAGAUGUUCAUUGGUGCCCAAGUGGAUGAGAUGAAUUGGUCUUGGGAUGUAGACUUAAUGUCCCACAUGCAAAUGACUAAAUUGGUCAAAAGUUUAGGAUAUAUGAGUAUUAAAUGUUUGCGGUACCAACAUCCCAAGUACUUAUUUACAUGUGAACUUAGACCUCUCAACAAUGACGAUGAUGUAGUAAAGUUUGUUGAAGAUGUCAAAGUGUUCAACGUAAUUGACGUCUUUGUGGAACACUAUAUAGAUAAUUCUAUUAUUAGUGAUGAUUGUCCAAUUCAAGAGCCAGUUGAAGCUGAAAAACUCCAAGGUGAAGGUGAACAAGUUCAAACUAAACCAGUUCAAGCUGAAGUAGUUCAAACUGAACCAGAUCAAUCAGAACCUGAAUCAGUUCAAACUGAACCAGAUCAACCAGAUUCUGAACCAGUUCAAACUGAACCAGAUCAACCAGAUUUUGAACUAGUUCAAACUGAACAAGAUAAACCUGAAUCUGAAGCAGUCCAUGGUGAAAAUUAUCUGAGUGAAGAAGAUGAAGAUUAUAUUGCUAAUUCAGAGGAUGAAGAUGAUGAUAUGGGUGAGUUCUAUGAGGGUGAGGAUUGGGACUGGAUUUCUGAAAUACCAACUGAGAUAUUUGUUAAUGUUGUAAGUGAUGAAAAUUCAUCUGAAAGACAUGCAAACCCAAAAGGAAAUCCAGGGCCUAGUUCUGCAACUGAUUUUGAAGAAAAUUAUGUGAAUUAUGAUGAUUUGGAUACUCCACCAGGAAGUGAAGUUGAUGAAGAGGAUGUUAGGAAAUUUCUUAAAUUUAACCUACCUGAAAAUGGUGAUGAAGUAAGGUUUGAGUUGGGCCUAAAAUUCAAUACAAAAGAGCUAGUUAAGAAUAUCAUUAAAGACUUUGCAAUGGAGACUAAGAAAAACUUGUAUUUCAAAAAGAAUGAUGGAAAGAGAAUCAUUGUUAGGUGUGAGCCAGAAUUUCCAUUUUACAUGAGGAUUACUAAGAGGACUUCAAACGAAUAUUGACAAUUAGUGAGUUUCACAGAUGAUCAUACAUGACAUAGGAGGACAAAAAAUAGACAAGCUAAGACUGAAUGGCUUGCCAAUAAAUUCGUUUCUAUGUUGAGACAUACAUCUGAAAUGAAACCCAUGGAGUUGAUAGUUGAGGCGCUUGAUAAAUGGGGUGUGAAGUUGUCUACAUACCAAGCAUAUAGAGCCAAAUUAAGAGCCAUAUAAAUGAUUUGAGGUGCUAAAAGGGAGCAAUAUGCACACUUGAGAGAAUAUGUCAAUGAACUUAAGAGAUCAAAUCCAAAUUCUACGAUUAUUAUUAAGUGUGGUAUGUCUGAUGUUGAACCAGUCUUUGAGAGAAUAUAUGUAUGUUUGGAGGCUUGUAAGGCUGCAUUUGCUAAUACAUGUAGGCUUUUAAUUGGAUUGGAUGCUUGUUUUUUGAAGGGAGAAUAUGACAGUCAGUUAAUAGAUGCAGUAGGUAAAGAUGAGAAUAAUCAAAUGAUUCUCAUUGCAUAUGCAGUUGUUGAAGCGGAAAUAAGAGACUCAUGUCAAUGAUUUCUGGAUCUUUUACUGGAUGACCUCAACAAUGUUCAGCAUAGGCAAUAUGCAUUCAUUUCAGAUCAGCAAAAGGUAUGUAUGCUAAAGUUUCUGAAUCCUUUUUAACAUUAUGCAAUCUGAUUUGUCCUCUUACAUUAUGCAAUCUGAUUAAAUUAGCUAUGUUGAAUUAUGCAAUCUGAAUUAAAUUAGCAAUGUUUAUGAAGUUACUGAUUAUGCAAUUUGAAUUAUGCAACCUGAAUCAACAAUGUUUAUGAAGUUUCUGAAUUAUGCAAUCUGAAUUAAAUUAGCUAUGUUGAAUUAUUAUGAAUUGAUUUCAGGGAUUAGUAUCUGCCAUUGCCAACAUUGAGGCCCAUGUGGAACACUGAUUAUGUGUUAAACACUUGUAUAGAAAUUGGAAGAAAAAAAGUAUCCCGUAUGACAUAUGAAAGAACUUAUUUGGUUGCCAGUCAGAGCUACUGUGGUCCAAGAUUGAGAGAAAGCAAUGCAAAAAAUUAAGGCAAUCAAUGAAGAUGUUUGGAAAGACAUGAUGCAACUCCCACCAUCUAUGUGGAUUAGGUCAGUAUUUUGCACUGAUACGCAAUGUGAUCUUCAAGUAAACAACAUGUGUGAGGCUUUCAACAUGGUUGUAUUGGAGUAUAGAGAUAAACUUAUCAUAACAUUACUUGAAGGUUUGAAAUAUUACAUUAUAAUAAGGAUUGUCAAACAGAAAGAGCUCAUGCUAUGAUAUAGAGACAAUAUAUAUCCUAAGAUUCAACAAAUAUUGGAAAAGGAAAAAAGAGCAGAUGGGGGAUGGUUUCCAACUUGGCAUGGAGAUGAUGAUUUUAACUUGUUUAGUGUCACAAAUGGUAUAGAUACUUAUACAGUAAAUCUACACACAAAAACUUGUGCUUGUCGUAAGUGAGAUUUGACCGGUAUUUCGUGUUGUCAUGCUCUUGUUUGUAUAUGGCAACACCUAACCGAUCCAGAAUCGUACGUUUCACCUUAUCGAAAAACUUGAUUUUAAAUGCAUUAUUGGUAUUGUUGUAGUUCAACUUAUGUUCUGUUUCUAUUCUAAAAUAUGUUAUUAACAUGUUGUUCUAGUUCAGUUACAUGUUGUUCUACUGGUUCAGUUUAGUUCUGGUUUUAACAUGCUGUUAUGGUUGUGUUUUAACAUGCUGGUUUUUAACAUUCAGUUCUGGUUCAGUUAGGUUAUGGUGGUGUUUUUAACAUGUUGGUUUAGUUAGGUUCAGUUUUGGUUUUUAACAUUCAGUUAGGUUAUGGUUAGGUUCAGUGUUGGUUUUUAACAUUCAAUUUUGGUUCAGUUCUGUUAUAGGUUAUUAACAUUCAGUUCUGAUUCAUUUCUGUUAUAGAUUAUCAACAUUCAGUUUUUAAUAUGCUGUUAUGGUUGUGUUUUAACAUGUUGGUUUUUAACAUGCUGGUUUUCUGACAUGUUUCUGGUUCAUUUUUGUUAUAGAUUAUUAACAUUCAGUUUUUAAUAUGUUGUUAUGGUUGUUUUUUAACAUGCUAGUUUUUAACAUUCAGUUCUGGUUCAGUUAGGUUAUGGUUGUAUUUUUAACAUGUUGGUUUAGUUAUGUUCAGUUUUGGUUUUUAACAUUAAGUUAGGUUAUGGUUAGGUUCAGUGUUGGUUUUUAACAUUCAACUUUGGUUCAGUUCUGUUAUAGGUUAUUAACCUUCAAUUCUGGUUCAUUUCUGUUAUAGGUUAUUAACAUUCAGUUUUUAAUAUGCUGUUAUGGUUGUGUUUUAACAUGUUGGUUUUUAACAUGCUGGUUUUCUGACAUGUUUUCGGUUCUUUAAAUAGGAAAAAAAACUUCUUGACAUGUUACUCUCACAUUAUAAUGCCAUCAAAUGGACCAAAACUUUGGCAAGCGUCAAAUGGAGAGCCUGUAAAUCCCAUAAUCAUGAGAAGAGCACCGGGUAGACCAAAGAAAAAUAGGAACAAGUCCAAUGACGAGCCAAAAGGUUCUAACAUACUAUUAAGACGGUUUGUAACUGUGAAAUGUAAAAAUUGUGGAAAGCUUGGCCACAACAUGAGGACAUGCAAGGGUAAAAGUGCAGCAGAUAGAGAGAUACCAAAAGGUGGAAAUAACGUCAACAUAACAAAGAAAGCAAAGACAACAAGGGUUGGAGGAGAUAAGGGAGAAACACCAACAGUUUUAUCUCAAGAUUCACAAGCUCCACAAACUCAUGAUUCACAAAUCAAUUGAAGGAACUAAACUUGUGAAUUUUAUUUUGGUUAUUAUGAAUAUGUAAUGAUACUUGAGAAUUUUAUUUUGUAGUAGUAUGAUAUUUUUUUUGGACCUAAGUUCUUAUGGAAUGAUUAUUUUGUAAUGCAGUAGUAUGUAAUGAUGGAAUGAUGUACUGAUUGUUACCUAAAUUCUAAAUUAUGAUUAUUUUGACAUGACAGUAAAUUUAGUAUGUUAUCUUGAAUGAGCAAAUUUGUUUGAGCAUUAAUAUUAGACAACUGCAUUAUAUCUUGAAUGAUACCUAACUACUGGAAAUUUGUUUGACCAAAUUGCAUUAAUACAAUGAUACCGAACUGAAUUAUUAACAUGUAAAAAUAGACAACUGAAUUACAAUAAUACCAAUUUCAUUUCAUAAUAACAACCUUAUUCAUUCAAAUUUGAUUAUAUUACAACUUCAAUUCAUCAUCAUAAUUUUUUGGCACAUUGUCUUUCUUCUUGAAUUCAUCGAUCUUUUUUUAUCAAAGACAUAAUAACUUCUUUUGCUCGUUCUCUCAUUGGCUCAUCAAACCAAUCGAAAAAGUUGCAAGAUUUUUUUAUCUUGUAACUGAAACAACAUAACAAAAAAAAAGAUUGAAUCUUCUUUCAAUAAAUUUUUAUAAUCUCAAAAUAAUACAACAAAAAAUAAAAUCUAGAAUUUUGACAAAUAGUUUACUUUAUAAAAUCCACAACCAUGAAACCUUCGACCUGGAUUUUCAGUCGUCCAAGAAGUACACAAAGGAGAUUCAAGUCCACACAAACAUUCUCUCCUUCUAAUUCUCAAAUGAGAAUUGUUGCUUGUAACUGAAUACGAAUGAGAAGACAUUUUCCCCCAAAAAACACAAGGAACAAAGAAAGAAGAAACGAAACAAAUGAAGAAGAAGAAACAACGGAAGAACAAAGGAUGAACACAAAUGAAACAGAUGAAAAUGAUGAAGAAGAAAAAGAAGAACCCAAAUGAAGAAUACGAACGAUGAAGAAGAAAAACGAAGAUGAAGAAGAAGAAGAAGAAGAAGAAGAAGAAGAAGAAGAAGAAGAAGAAGAAGAAGAAGAAGAAGAAGAAGAAGAAGAAGAAGAAGAAGAAGAAGAAGAAGAAGAAGAAGAAGAAGAAGAAGAAGAAGAAGAAGAAGAAGAAGAAGAAGAAGAGGAAAAGGGAAGAUGAAGAAGAAGUGGUCGAUUUUGAUUUUAGGGUUCACGAAUUGCUUCUAUUGAAUUGGGGCUGAUUUUGAUUUUAGGGUUCACGAUUUUGAUUUUGAUGCGUUGCUGCUUUUUGAACUUAAUUUUGACUAUUUUUUUUAAAAUUUGGAAUAAUAUAAUAAUAGUUUUUAAAAAUAUAAAUUGUAUUUUUUAAUUUGGAAUAAUAUAAUAAUGACUUUAUUUCACGUCUGCCACGUCACCAUUUUUUUUGACACGUCAUUAAAAAAUGACAACUCGUCAUGAUUUUGUCUCAAAUUCUGUUUUGGGGAUCAAAACUAGAGACAAACAAAUUGAGGAAACUACUUUUACAAUUCACCUAAAAUAGGCGGAUCAAAAGUGCAAUUAAGCCAAAAAAUUAUUGUAAAUAGAAGAUAAAACAUAUCAUGUGAUAGAAAAAAUAACAAACAUUCCUAAAUGGUGUAAUUUACAAUAUAUUUGUACCUUCACAAAAUAAAAAAAGCUUGCUCUCAAAUCUCAAUUACCUUAUAGAAAAUUCAUCGCUUCAACAAGAAAUUAUAGAUAACAUCAUUGAGAUUGCAAAGAGAUAUGAAACCUCAUUAAAAAUGCAUAGAUUGAUCCAUAUUAUGAAUCACCUUAUGUAGAGGUUUAUAUGAUUAAUUUUAUUUAUCAAAUAACCUUUUGCAAUGGAAAGAAAGUAUCUAUACAUUUUAUGAUGUUUCAAAUCUUAUACAAUGUCGUUGAUGUUCCCCAUUAUACAAUUAUCUCAUAGAACCUUACUGAAAUACAAUAUGUAUAGUGUUGCCCGAUAAAAUUUGUAGCUUGCAUUUCUUGCGGGACUAAAUCAAAAUAAUGCUAUAUCUAUAUCAUGAACUAGAGACUCGAAUUUAAAAUCAAAAUAAUAGCCAUAUUUUUCGUCUAAUGUAUAAGAUACGAUUAUAAGUAGGAUAAUUGAUAAAUUUUCUUCAAAGUUUUUAAAUGGAUCUUUUCAAAAUUUUAACUAUAUUAGUUAUUUAAAAUUCCUCUUAAUUACAUACUUUACAUAUACUUUGUAACAAAUAAAUAAGCAAUAAAUAUUUUUUUAGAAACAAUAAAUACCGAAUAUGAAAAAACAAAAUAAAUAGUUAACAAAUUUAAUAUUAUUAAAUGAAUCAAUAUUGUUUUAAGUAAAACAAAAUUGAUAUUACUAUGAACUUUAUUGAUACAUAUGUAAUUUAGUCAUUGAAAUUUUAUAUUUAUGGUUGAUAUUUUACAUGAGUAAUAUGUCUCUUGAGGUUUUUGUUUUUCUCUUUUUAUAUAAUCUACUUUUAACCUUAAAAAUAUCUUAAGACAAUAAUAAAUAUGAUUUUGCUUGAUUACUGUCACUUUUUAUAUACACAUUUUAAUUUUAUUGUUUUGCAAAAGACCUGUGAAAAUGAAUCAUAGGAUAGUUAAAUAUAAAAAAAAAAAAAAAAAUUAGUAUGGUGACCCUAAAAUCAAAAUCAGCCCCAAUUCAAUAGAAACAAUUCGUAAACCCUAAAAUCAAAAUCGACCACUUCAUUAUCGUUGGUGACUUCAAUCUCAAUCAAAGAGACAAAGCAAUGUCUAACUAAUAACAUUUCCAAAUGUGGUUUAAAGAGACAACAUCAAAAUGCAUAACCACAGACGUGAAUUCAUUGUUAUCCUAGCCACAAAACACCUUUAUAGCAUCAAAUACAAGUGUAGCAAAAUUGCCUUGGUGAGGAAAAUACCUACAUAAUAUACAUAUGUAUUCAGGAUGACAUAAAUAUUGCUUAGUUGCAUGCGGCGGACCUGAACGAGUGUUCAUGCUAGGGUCGUGCCUCGUGGUGCGUGACAUGUAAACUUACACGUGCAUAAAGUAGCGGCAAUAAGGUUCAUUGAUACAUAUGAUGAAAUCAAAUGGUCAUUUAUUACUGAUAGAUAGGCCACUUCAUUUGGAUCAAUGAAUCAAAUUCUUCAUAGUUCAUACUAUUGAUAAUCGAUCUACCAUUUGCCCCAAAGCAAUAGCUCCUUGUUUGAAGCCUACAGUAACAUAUAAUCAACAAUAAUAUGAAAAUAAAGAAAUCUGAGAAAAAGUUACAAGCAGGGGCAGAUUAAGAUAAACUAUUCAAAAAAUUCAAAGGUAGCAGAAAAUUCAGUUGUUGACAGAGAUGUACAUUUAUUUAACUUUGAAAGCCUUGAUGCAUAAAAGGCUGACCAGGCAAAACAGUAAUGAUAUCCUGGAAAAUGAUUAAUUAUAAUAUCAGAAGUGAUUAGCAAUGAAUAAAUCUUCAAAUAAAUACUGCAUAUAGAGCUAUUCACCUUAAGCUUCAAUUGUUUUCAAAAUUCUUAUUUGCAAUCCUACCAAGUGUGGUGUAAGGUACGAGGCAAAAGAAAAUGAUGAUAUUACCUAUAUCAGAGCUUCUUUACAACUUCCUCAAUUACACGACAAUAGUAAGUCAUUCUCCUAAUUGCUUUCUUUGCUUCUUCAAAAUUCCGUCUUUGAAAGGCAUGAGCAAAGGAAUUAGACCAAUUUUGAAGUUUCUCCUGCAUCUGGAUGAACAAUCAAAGGAUAAUAUGAAGAAACAACAUCAAAAUAAUCAUAAUUCAAAAUCUGUAUUUUAACUGAUUAUGCAGUCUCUUUUGUAGCAUAGCACUUCUGCCUUGCAAAUUUGAAUUUCCGAGCAUACCUGAGAACGAAUGUCAUUCAAAGCCUCAGAGUUAGUUGCUUCUUCAACUUCUUCUCUGAUUUCCAUAAUCUGGAGAAAAUUUUACAAAUAGAUUGGGAUUAGGUUGUAGAAGUAAACAAUAUGCAUAGUAUACUUUGUAGCACCAACACUUCUGAUCGAAUGUGUGCUUGGUGUCCGACACAGACAUAGAAACAUGUAAUUACAUUCAAUUCAUUCAUUUCUCAAACUAUUACCAGUGUCGAUGUAUCAGUAUCGUGUCCAGUAUUUGUCUUUGUGUCAGUGCUUCAUAGAUACUAUACAAUUAACUUUACCAAUUUAAAUUCCAGGAUUCAAUUUUAUGCUCUAGAAAAAGGAAGCCGAUUUAUUUAAGAGAAAGAUAAAUAAAAGCCGAGCAAACCAAAAUGAGAAAAAAAGAAAAUGUUUAUGUAUAAUAAAAUGCCAUUUUCAUUUCCAUUGAACAUAUACAUUGCUGGAGUGCAAUUUCUAUAAUGAAACUACACAUGUUAUUUUCACUUUCAAAGAAGGUAAGCCAACCUUCUAACAGCUGAGAAAGCACAUUUAUAAUUGGAAAUGGAUUAUCAAAUGCUAAAAUAAAUAAACUUAUACAUCACAGUUUCAAUAUAAUCAACUGUUGUAACUAGCCACCACAAUUGAUCCGAGAUCAUAUAUAUAUAUAUAUAUAGGGAGCAUACCAAAUGAGAGAAGUUUUACGAUGAGAGGGUGAAAGAGUUAAAUCUUGACCACACCACUAUACAUGUAUGGUCAAGAUUAGAAGAAAAAGUCAUAUGAUUUUUUUAAGUGAUCAUGUGCUACUUAAUUAACUCUUAAUCAUGAUCAUCCAUGUAUGGUUGUGUGAUCAAGAUUUAACCCUCUCAUUGUAAAACUCCUCUCAUUUGAUAUACUCCCAUAUAUAAAUAUAUGUCAUUUUCUAGAUAUCUUUAUUUUUGUCCGGACGAUAGAGAUGCAGGUGCAAGUAUUUCAAAAUUCAAAUAAACCUUGAGAAUGAGAUGUGAUUUAAGCUUCCAACCACUUAUUUUAUGAGGAACUUGUUUCACUGUUAUUUUGUUUACUACAGAAACCAGGUUAAAGAUAAAUUUCACAGGCUUUAUUCAAUUACCUCUGCUAGUAAUUCUGGAUCUGAAAUUGUCUGCUCCUCAUCAAUUUCCACUCCAUUGAUCUUCAGCUAAAAAAAUACGGCGCAACAUUACUUGGUAUCAACAAGAAGAAACAGUAAACAGUAUAUAACUAAAGAAAGUGAUUGAAAGCCUGUUGAUGACAUAUUUAAUUUAUUUGUUUCUAUGAUCAAAUAAUAAAUUUCUACGUCACAGAUAUAUUUUCACCAUUGAACUUUUAAAAUGUUCAAAUUACGUAGAGAUUUCCGCUACUGCAAUUAUGCAUCAUCAAUUUGAUUCUGGGCGUGGAAAUAAGCUUACCAUGUAAAUUGCUCUUGACAAAGGAUUGCUAAGUGUACGGUAAGCAUCAAUCACUCUCGCAGAUUGUUCAGCAGCAAAUUCUCUUUCUUUCUAACAAAUUGAAGUAAAUAAAACAAAGUUGUUAGUAUCUCCAAAAACACAUUCAACUUCACUACCUUACCGUUGCUCGCGGGUCAAAUUGAAGUAAUAUUUGUAUUUUCUAAAUUAUUAAGUCUCACUACGUUUCGGAGCAAUCGAAAAUUCCAAAAUCAACUGAAGUCCGAAUAACAAUAACAUUGAAAUGAAAUCCUAUAUCAAUUUUCUACAAACGUUUCUACCUUUCAAAUACUAUUAAUAUCCAUUUGACUUGUUGGUGCCUAAUACUGCAACCUAUAUAACAGCAGAAAUAAACACAGUUUAAGAACAAACAUAAAAUUGCAUCUAAGCUGCAACCACUAUGAUUCUAACAUGCAGAGAACAAAGGUGUUCACAUUGUAAGGUAAAUAAUAAGUUGGAGAAAAGUAACAACUAAAUAGACUUUGAAAAAUUGAAAUCAAUGACAUACAUAUAUCAACUAAAUAAACAAGAGACAUCAUAUAGAUAUAUACAACCUUUCAAAUAAAGACCCAAUUCUUUAAGACACAAAUAUCAAACUGCAACAAAUUUGUCUUUCUCAGAAAUCCAAAUCACAAACCCCUCCCCUCCCUUAAAGACUGAAUGAAAAUUAUGAAACAAAAAAACUCUUACGAUUGCUCACCGGUCAUCUCCAAUUCCAAAAAAAAAAAAAAGGGGAAUAGUAUGAAAUAAAAAGGAAGAGGAAAGAACAUAUCCCCUAAGACAAACCUGUGAUUUUGAAUGCACCAAAUCAGGAUGUAGUUUCUUUUGCCACUCUUUGUACUUGCCCUCCAAAUCGAUACCCUCUACAUCAUACUUCCUCUCCCUGUUUUCAAUUCAAAAAAAAACAAAUACAUUGCUUUUGAGUUUCUCAACUUAUUUAUUAUAGCCUUAAAUAUACUUUUCGUCUUUUAUCUUUUACCUAAUAAUCAUAAAUAAAUAAAAAGAUAAAUGAACAAAAUGAACAAUUGGUAAAAGAUAAAGAAAGAAAAUUAUAUUUAAACCUUUAUUAUAAUAUUCACACAAUAAUCAUAAAUCAACGAAUAAGCAGCCAUUUUGGUCUCUGAAUGUGUACGGCGUUGUCACAAUAAUCCUUAAAUGUAUCAAAAUCACCAAAACAUACCUAAAUAUGUUGUUUGUUAGUCAUUUUGGUUCUCAAAUUUGUCUAGUUAGUCACUUUUAAUCCUCAAAUGUCUUUGUUUCUUGAUCAAUUUAGUCCUUAAAAUUACUAAUCGAAAAGAUAUUGGGGAUGUAUUAACAAUUUCAGUACAUUCAGAGACUAUAGUGACCGCACUCCGCACAUUCAUGGACCAAAAUGGAUAUUUACUCGUCAAUAGAUUUCUUUUCCUCCAUUACAGAAACAAAUAAUCAUAUGUUGACAGUCCAGAUAUAGAACUCAACUCAGAAGCCUAACAAAGACACAAUUAUGACACCUAAAAGAAUACAAUUUCCUCUUGAUCUUGAUGACAGAACAUACAUAAUACAUUACAACCUUGACAAUUAAAAAAGUUCUAGAAUGUAAAAUAAAAUAAUAAUCAAGCAGCUUCCUAAUAAAAGAUAUAUAUGCCUCAAAUCAACACAAUCCAUAAUAAAGAUAAAAAACUUUGUUAACAAUUUCAGCACCCGUAACAAAUAAAAAAUAAAAAAUCACAGAAACUUACGACCCAAAAAUUUGGAAAUAGUCAAUCGAAUGAUCAACGGGUUGAAUGGAGCAACAAGAUUGGCAGAAGAGGAAAGGUGUGGAUUGAGGAACAGCAUGACAAUUCCAGCACGUAGUUUGGAAAUUCUCUUCAGAUUUUGAGCAUGAAAUUUUCCUGCAGAAUCUAAGAAACCCAAAAGGGGAAGAAUAACAGAGAUUAUCACAGGGUGUAAAGGGUGGUGAUGGAAUUAUUGGAGCUGAUGAAUGAAGAGAUUGUUUAAGGUGAUGAGAAAAACGUUGGGGAAUUGAAGUUAAAGUGCGGUUGAAAAAUGUUGAAAGGGGUGUGAAAAGUAACUUCUUUGACAUUGUGUAAGAAGAAGAGUUGCAGAAGCUAGCGAUUCCUGAAUUUUGGAAGGGUUUAGCUUAUUCUACAGUGGAUCGGGUUUUGAAGUGGUUUAUGGUGGAUGGUAAUUAUUGACCGUUAGAUUAAGCGGUCUCACCAAAUGUUAGUAUGGUCUCUCUGCACUGAAUCAAAGCGCCCAUUUCUCAGAUCUAUCUUCCUCUCUGACGGAGCAGAAUUCUCCAAUGAAUGAGAGUGGUUGAUCACGAAAAAUUUAAGGGAAUAGGGUCCGAAGACUGAACAAUUCGUAUAUAAAUCACUCCUUUGUUAUCCAUUUUGUGAACAAUUGCAUGUUUUGAACAUUGUAUUUCUCGCACACAAAACUAUUUGAAUGAGAAUUAUAGGAAGUUAUGAUUAGUAGAUGUGUGUGAUUAGUGAUUGUGGACAUGAAGCCGAAAUCCGAACCAAGAACUACUAAACUAGUAAAGAAAAUAUCAAUUUCGAAGAGUUAUGAGAAAGAGUAAACAUGCAAUGUUGCUGCUUCGGUUCUAUGACACGUGCACACACAUAUCUACAAGGUUGAAGCUUGGGUUCAAAGAAGCUUUUUGGUGAGAUGUUUUCAAGUGUGUACCUUUUUGUUGUUCAAAGAAGGUUCUCGAAUCAUUAAAAUAAAAGAGCUUGAAACAGGUCAGUUGAAACAGUUUGGAAUCUCUUUAGCCAAAUUGUCAAGAAAGUUCGAUCAACCUUGAUAUAUGCAAAGACAUUACAAAGACAUCCAGAAAGAUCAAAACAUGAACUCCAGAUUGAUCAUCAAUCUCAAGAAAGAUCAAAUUUUCAGAACUAGAUUGAUAAUCAAUCUUCGUGUUCUGCAUAAAUUCAACAGUGUUCUUCCUACUUCUACAUUGAGUUAUAAUCAUUCUCCAAACUAUUUUGGACAGAUUUAAAGUUUCAGAUCAAGGCUGUAACAUCAAUAAUGAAGUAAGAAGCUUCAAAAGUCUUUAAACUAUUCAAAAUCAUUCAAAGGCUGGAUUAUUUUUAAUCUCAUAUAUUGGUUUUGGUCAAAUCUGACAAAGCACUACCAACAGUUCUUUUGACCCUUAGUUAAUGCUCCUAAAACGCCUAUAAAUGGAAGGCCAAUAUCCAGGAUUAAACGAGAAAUUCAAGUGCUGUCAAUUCCCAUAAAUCAUUCACAUUCACAUACUUGAAGUUCUCAUUUUCACAAAGAAGAAAUAGUUCUAAAUCCUUACAUUAUAUUGUUUUACUACUGCUAAUUUCUUUGUAAAGAAUCGAAUCUCAAACAAGAGUUGAGACAUUUCAGAUUCUAUCAAAACAAUCUUAUCACUAUUGUAAAACUCAAACUAUAAGAGUUUAAUUAUAGUUUGAUUAUAUUGUAACGAAUCCUAUCAAGAUAGAUAGAUAUCGUAUUCGCUUUCUGGGUGGAGAAUAAAGCUUGAAACAGAUCAGGGUCGACCUGUGCUGAGUGCUAUAAAAUCAAGAAGGCUCUUUGUUUUAAACCCUUAGUGGAAAAUCUCACAGUUGUGAGGACUUGACGUAACCCAAGUUGGGUGAACCACGAUAUAUUGUUGUGUGGUAUCUCUUCCCUUAUCUAUUUACUUUCAGUUUGAUUGAUUAACAAGUUAAAAAACUUAAACAGAAUUGCAAAUUUUAACUAACCAAGGUCGUUCUCUGUUUUCUAGUUAAAAUCAAGAACGUUAUUCGUUUUCUGUUUUCACAACCAAGAUCAAUCUUGAGUUAUUUUCUUCAGUUUUUAACAUGAAUUUUUAAAAGGUGCAUUUACAAUUCAAUCCACUCAUUUCUUGUAAAUCGACAUUGUUACUUCAAUUGGCAUCAGAGCUCGGUCUCUAGAAAGAUUUAAAAAAACACCUAACAAGUGCUAGAGAAAAGAUCUAGAAGAAAAAAAUGUCGAAAGCCAAAUACAUUGUUGAAGGAGGAUCUUCGAACAGACCACCAUUCUUUGAUAGAACUGAUUACUAUUUCUGGAAAAAUAAGAUGCAGUUGUUUCUGAAAUCUCAAGAUACAAGGAUGUGACGCAUCAUUACAGAUGGAGAUUUCAUACCAAGGGUUGAUCAAGAUGACUCAAGCUCUGCUAUGAAGAAAGAAGCAGACUUGACAGCUGAUGAUAAAACUAAGAUACUUCUAAAUUCUAAAGCUUAGUUAUUUUUAUCAUGUGCCUUAAGCAGGGAAGAAAGUGAAAGAGUAGAUGAAUGCACAACUGCAAAAGAAGUUUGGGAUACGCUACAAACUCAUCAUGAAGGAACAAGUUAUGUCAAAGAAACAAAGAUAGAUAUUGGCAUAAGGAAAUUCGAACUGUUCGAAAUGCAAGAAGGAGAAACUAUUGAUGAAAUGUACUCAAGGUUCACAACAAUAGUAAAUGAAAUGUGUUCUCUUGGCAAAUCUUUCACAGUUCAAGAAAGAGUAAGAAAAAUCAUGAGGUGUCUUCCAAUCAUAUGGAGACCAAUGGUAACAACUAUAAGCCAAUCCAAGAAUCUUGAAUCACUUCCUCUAGAAGAAUUAAUUGGAACUUUAAGAGCACAUGAAGUAUUGGUACAAGAAGACAAACCAAUCUAAAAGGGAAAGACAAUAGCACUAAAAGCAUCUCAAGAAAAAAUCACAGUACAAAUAGAAGAAUAACCAGAAGAAAACGAACAAGAAGAAGCUGAUGAAAUUGCUUUUCUCACAAGAAGAAUACAAAGAAUGAUGAGAAGAAGAGAUCAAAUCAAAAAGGGAUUUCAAAACAAAAAUCCCAAAACAGAAGUAGACAAAAGCCAAGUCACAUGCUUUGGAUGUAACAAAUUAGGACAUUACAAAGCAGAAUGCCCCUUAAACAAGAAUCCACCAAAGCGAUUUCCUUUCAAGAAGAAAUCAAUUAUGACAACAUGGGAGGAUUAAGAAGAAUCAGAAGCUGAAGAAGAUGAGGAAGCUAACAUAUGCUUAAUGGCAAAAACAGAGGAAGAGAAGGUAAUAAAUUAUGAACCAUGUUAUUUAUGUGAGCAAAUGGGAAAAGAAUUUAAUAACUUGUUAAAUGAUUCAAAUCUCUUUAUUCAAAAAUGUAGUUUUUUAAAAGAACAUUUUCAUAAAGAAAAAGAAUAAAAAGAAGAAAGUCAAGCUAGGAAUAAUAUGCUAAAAAACAUCAUUCAAGAAUUAAAAGAAAUGCAUAAACAAAAUUUUGAAAAACAAAAAGGUCAAGAACGUUCUGCGCUGAAAAUAGAGAACAUUCUCCUUAAAAAUGAAAAUGAACUUCUUAAAACAGAUUUGUUGAAUUUCAUUAAAGCCACUGAAACUUUCCAAAAAAUUAUGGGAUCUCAAAUAGGAAUCUUUGAUAAAGCUGGUCUUGGUUUUAAUCAAACUCAAAAAAAAAAAAAGUUGUAUGAAAUUUUUUUUGUCCUAAAAAGAAAGGAAGAAAAAUGUAAAACUAGAUGUUCUUAUUGUAAAAAACUUGGACAUCUGAAAUUUGCUUGCUAUUUCAGAAAAAGGGAUGAAAAGAUUAAAAGUAUGAGCUUGAUUAGAAAAGGAGAUCGUUCUGCCAAGACAGUAUUGGUAAAACUGCAAAAAGGAGAACAUUCUCCAGACUGUUUUUCAAAACGGAGAAAGUUCCAAAACGAAAGUUGAACCUUCUCCAGAAAAACUGGGAAAAUGAGAACAAUCUGAAAUUAUCUCAAAAUCAAGUUUACAAUCUUUUGAAACACAGAGUAUCAAAUCAAUUUCAAAAUCAACAGUUAAAUGUUCAGUUUGUUUCAAAAACAAUCAUGGAAAAACGAUGUGUCAUUUUAAAAAUAAACAAUAUUUUAAAACUAACUCCCAAGGACCCAAAACAAUGUGAGUACCUAAGGUUGAACUAACGUCAUAUGCAGGUUGGAUUUCCAAAUAUAAAGAGAAAGCCUUGGUUCUUGGACAGUGGUUGUUCAAGACACAUGACAUGAGAUGAAGGUUGUUUUCUAACAUUCAUCAAGAAGGGUGGAGGAUCGGUUACUUUUGGAAAUAACAAUCAAGCUCAGAUUAAAGGUAAAGGAACCAUUGGUAAGACAAACUCUGCUCAAAUAACUGAUGUUCAAUAUGUUGAAGAUUUAAAACACAAUCUGUUAAGCAUAAGUCAGCUAUGUGACAAUGGAUGUGAAGUUAUUUUCAAACCCAAAGUAUGUGAAAUCAGAAAAACUGAAACUGGAGAAACUUUGUUUUCUGGAAAUCAAAAGCAAAAUUUGUAUGUUUUGUAUCUUGAAAAACUAUCUGACGAGUCAUGCUUUAUAUCAAUCAAUAAAGACAAAUGGAUAUGGCAUAAAAGAGCUGGUCAUAUUAGUAUGAAAACAAUCUCAAAAAUCUCAAAAUUAGAUCUUGUUAGAGGAUUACCCAAACUCAAUUUUGAAAAAGAUAAAAUAUGUGAAGCAUGUGCAAAAGGAAAACAAGUCAAGAGUAGCUUUCAUUCAAAAGAUUUUGUAACCACAAACAGAACUCUUGAAUUACUUCACAUAGAUCUUUUUGGGCCAGUCAAAACAACAAGUCUAGGAGGAAUGAAAUAUGGUUUCAUUAUUGUUGAUGAUUUCUCAAGAUUUACUUGGGUGCUAUUUUUAAAACAAAAAGACGAUGCAUUUGACGCAUUUAAAAUAUUUUGCAAGAAAGUACAAAAUGAAAAAGAAUCCAACAUCAUUUCUGUAAGAAGUGAUCAUGGAGGAGAAUUCAUAAAUGUUUCAUUUAAAACCUUCUUUGAUGAACUUGGCAUUUUUCAUAAUCUUUCAUGUGCAAGAACUCCACAACAAAAUGGAGUUGUUGAACGAAAAAAUAGAACAUUACAAGUAAUGGCAAGAACCAUCUUGGAAGAAUCCAACGUUGAAAGGUAUUUUUGGGCUGAAGGUAUAAACACAUCUUGCUAUAUCCUAUACCGUGUAUCCAUAAGAAAGAUCAUCAACAAAACACCAUACGAAAUCUGGAAAAAUAGAAAAUCCAACAUUUAUUACUUUCAUAGUUUUGGUUGUUAUUGUUAUAUUUUAAACAACAAAGAUAUAAUUGGAAAAUCUGAUAAAGCAAUAUUUCUUGGUUAUUCAACUGACUCUAAAGGAUAUAGGGUAUUUAAUCUAAGAACUAAUGUUGUAGAAAUAAGUAUGCACAUAUUAUUUGAUGAGUUUGAUGACUUAGAUUUAAGUAAAAAAGAUGAGGAAGAAGAAACUCCAAUCGAGUUACAGCAGCAAAACAGUUUGCAGAAAACUGAGAUUGAUAAACAAUCUCCGUUUCACUCUUCACCAAAAAGCUGGAGAACGAUUGAAUAUCAUCCUCAAACUCAAAUUAUUGGAGACACGGCUGAUGGGAUUCAAACAAGAAAAUCAUUCAAGAAUGAUGAAAACAACAUGACAAUGAUAUCCCAGAUUGAACCAAAAUCAAUUAAGGAAGCCAUCAUUGAUCAAUCUUGGAUAGAUGCUAUGAAGGAAGAACUACUACAAUUUGAAAAAAAUGAAGUCUGAAUACUACUACCUAAUCCAUUAGAUCAAACAAUCAUUGGUACACGUUGGGUCUUCAAAAAUAAACUAGAUGAAGAAGGUAAGGUUAUCAGGAACAAAGCAAGAUUAGUAGCUCAAGGCUACAAUCAACAAGAAGGUAUAGAUCAUGAUGAAACCUUUGCUCCGGUUGCAAGGUUAGAAGCUAUUCGUAUACUUCUUGCAUAUGCAUCUCAUAAGCUUAUUAAAUUGUUUCAAAUAGAUGUUAAAAGUGCAUUUUUUAAUGGAUUCUUAAAUGAACAAGUUUAUGUGAAACAACCCCCAUGUUUUGAAAAUCAAUCAAAACCAAAUCACGUUUUCAAACUUACCAAAGCUUUAUAUGGCCUAAAACAAGCACCAAGAGCCUGGUGUGAACGAUUAAGUUCAUUCUUAAUCAAAAGUGGAUUAUUAAGAGGAAAAAUCGACACUACAUUAUUUAAGAAAACAAAAAAGAAUGACUUAUUUAUUGUUCAAGUAUAUGUUGAUGAUAUCAUCUUUAGAUCAACAAAUAAAAAAAUGUGUGAAGGUUUCUCAAAACUUAUACAAAGUGAAUUUGAAAUGAGUAUGAUGGGAGAAUUAAGGUAUUUUCUUACAAAUUAAACAAUAUGAAAAUGACAUCUUUAUUUAUCAAGAAAAAUACAUAUCUACUGGUCAAAUAUAAAAUGAAUGAAUCAAAUAUCAUGACCAUUUCCAUGCAUCCAUCUUCUUCUUUAGAGAAAGAUGAAAAUGGCAAUUUUGUUUCUGAAAAAGAAUAUAGAGGAAGGAUUGGUUAUUUGCUUUAUUUAACUGCUAGUAGGCCUGAUAUAGCAUUUGCAGUGGGAUUAUGCGCUCGAUUUCAAUCAGCACCAAAAGAAUCACAUUUGACAGUAGUAAAACGAAUAUUUAGAUAUCUUGUUGGAACCACUAAUCUUGGUUUUUGGUAUAGAAAAGGUUCGCAUUUUGAUCUUAUAGCAUAUUGUGAUGCUGAUUAUGCUGAAGAUAAAAUUGAAAGAAAAAGCACAAGUGGAACAUGUCAGUUCUUAGGUGAAGCAUUGAUCAGCUGGUCCUGCAGAAAACAAAACACUAUAGCCUUAUCAACAACUGAAGCUGAAUAUGUCUCAGCAGCAAACUACUGUUCACAAGUUCUAUGGAUUAAGAAUCAACUCGAAGACUACUCAGUAAGCUAUUCCAGUAUUCCAAUUUAUUGUGAUAAUACCAGUGCUAUAAAUCUGUCUAAAAAUCUAAUACAACACUCUAGAUCAAAACAUAUUGAAAUAAAACAUCAUUUCAUUCGUGAUCAUGUCAAUAAGAAAAAUAUCGAAUUAAUCUUUGUUGAUACUCAAAAUCAACUUGCUGACAUCUUCACAAAGCCUCUUGUCGAGGAUAAUUUCAAUUUGAUCAAAGAGACACUGAAAAUCACGAAAAAUCCAGAAAAUUCUGGAUAAAAUCUGCUUCUGCAGAAAACGAAGAACGUUUUUCAAUCUUAGUUUUUCAGAUAUCAGUCUCCGUUUUGACUAUUAACAUUCUCCUCUGAGUCAUCACUUUUCCUCACAAGUCCAAAAGGGAAAUAUUGGCAUUUAAUGCAUGUGUCUCUUUACCUGUAAAAGAGAAACUGACACAGCACUCAUGCCCCCAAAAAAUCAUUUCCUCCUUCCCAAGAUAAUCAUUGUCCUUCUCACGUUUCUGACAAUCUUUUUAACCACUCCAUCUUCUUUUCCUAAAAAACAGCAAACAAAACCUUCAAACCUCUCAUCUUCUUCCUCCAAUCUCUCUCACUCAGACUUCUCAACUCCCAAGUCAUGGCACGCACAAAACAAUCUGCAAGAAAGAAUGCAUAUCCCUAUUCACCUUCUUCAUCAUCCCCAUCAUCUGAUUCAUUUCAACACUCACCUUCUCCACCACCACGACCAACUCCACCACACAUUUCCUCUGAUACUUCGUUUUUCUGAUUAUCUUUCAUCAUCCCCUGAAACUAACCCUAAUAAUCUUCCUAUCAAUCCCAAUCCCAUAUCCACUAUUCUUCCACCACUAUACACAUGUCCUCCUCCUAAUAUUGCUCAAGUUCCAUCUCAUCUAAGAAAACCUAUGAUACCAAAAAGACCUCCAUGAGAGUUCAAUUUGGCAUUGGAACUUCCAAAGCCAAAACAGAAAAACCCUUUUACUUCAUCAUCUCCGAUUCCGAGACUGAUGACUCGUCUGAAACUCCUUCUCCCACAACUGUUAAAGAAAAAGCACAACCCAAACCCAUCACUCCUUCAAAAUCUUCAUUCUCUUCCGAACCCUCUCAAUCAACUCCUCCAAAUCAAAAAAGGAGAUUGAUCGAAGAAAUAUUUUCCUCUCUUCCAAAAUCAUCUCAGCCUUCAACUCAAUCCAAAAAGACCAGGAAAACUAAAACCACCAUGACCAUCGCCCAGUUCAUAGCCAGAAACAAACUCAAAAAACCCCCCAAAGAAAGAAAAUGCUUGUACCCAAACAAAACCUAAAACUCACUGAAACAGCUUCUCCAAAACAAUCUCCAUCUCCAAAAUGUUCCUUUGUCCCAAAUCCAGAACGUUCUCCAGUACAUAUCCCUUCACUCUCUCCACAAAAAGAACGUUCUCCACAUCAAGAACGUUCUUCUGCUCACCCAAUCUCUCCUUCAGAACCUUCUCCAAAUCCAGAAACUUCUCCACUUUGUACACCACCCUCAUCAACAAAAACCAAACGAUCUCCAACUCCAGAACAUUCAUCUUCCUCCACUUCUGAAACAUCUGAACCAUCUCCACCUACCAAAAAAUCCAAACCAAACACACUCCCUCUCAUGUCACCAAAAAACUCCAAACAUUUCAAAGAUAAAUGGGCUCAACGCCCAAUUGGAAUCGGCAGAGUUUUUGUUUUUGAUAAACUCAUUAUUGAUGGCAAUGAUGUCUAGCAUCACACUAAUGCUCUAGACUGGACAUCAUUCUUACAAACAUUUGAGUGUUACUACCCAGAUGUUGUCAGAGCUUUCUAUUGCAACGCAAAAACCUUUUCUGAUAAAUCCCUUAUUAUAUCCACCAUUAAGGGAAUCGAGAUCAGGUUAACCCCAGGCAUUUUGGCUUCCAUCCUUCAACUGCCUACAGAAGGACCCUCUGUGUUUGGUAACCAUUAGUAUUUAGCUCUGAAUCUCAAAGAGAUUGAAAUCCUUUCUGAUUUAUUUCAAGAAGGCUCCACACGCUACCUCUCCACAUACCUCAAACCUCUCCCAAAGAUUUUUAACAACAUGUGCCAACAUACUCUCAUUCUUCACUAUGGAAGUCGUGAGUAUGUCUCUGCCAAUGACGCCUUACUCAUCUAUCACAUGAUUUGUGCUGCUGACACAUGAUUUGUAUUGCCAACACAUGAUCCGUGUAAGCGUUUAAACCUUCCUCAUGUGAUCAUCCAACACAUGAUUUGUGCUGCCACAAAAGACUACAAGAAAAAUACUAUUCCUUAUGGAAUGAUAUUAACUCGAAUCUUCAGGCAUUUUGGCAUUCCCCUCACCACUACAUCCUCCUUCCCAACCUCCUUGAAAAGAAAACGUUCUGCAAGACAAAGAACUGUCCCCAUCUCUAUUCCUUUCUCACCUCCAAAAUCUAAUCAAUCAGGAGAUAUUGUUCCAGAAACUGCUCCAAAAAAUUCUCCAUCAAAUCGAGAACGUUCUCCAGAACAUUCUCCACAAAACCAACAACAUUCUCCAGACAAAAUUUCACCUUCAUCAACAUUCUCUGUUUUUCCUCAACUAUCCACUUUAUCCUCCACUGAUUUCCUCUCAUAUUCUCAAAUCCUUCAUUCUCCCCCUCGUGACUUUGGAACACUGCUGCCCAAUCCACAUAUAAGUGUCAUGUCACCAUUUUUUGUGUCCCCACAAAAAACAAGUUCCUCCGUUUUCGGUAUUAGCCAACUUUUUAACUUUCCAAAAACUGUUGACCCAUCUGGCAAACCAUCCACACCAUCUGGACCUCUCCCGUCCUUGGAUACUUCCUUUGCCAUUGUUCCCUCUAUCUCCGGUUCCACCAUUCCAUCCAACACUGUCGUUGCUGCUACUUCUCAACCAACCACUCAUAUUCAUACUCCUCCUCACAUGACUGAACCUUCAAACUCAGAUAUUAUGGCUGCUCUUCAGACCAUAAUGGCAAGACAGCUUCAGCAAGAUCAGGAGACUAAUCUGUUGAGAACUUGGUUCACAUAACAACUUGCUAUUCCUCCUCCACAAGUUCCUAACCCAGGAAAAUCCUCCCCAUCUAAAGGAUCCUAUCCGUCCCUUGUAUCUUAGUUGUUUUUCCCCUUACCUUUUUGUAUGACAAAGGUGGAGAAUUAAGUUAGUUUUUAAUAUAUUUUUUAGAAUCUUUUUGUAUCUAGUAUUCUCUACAUAUGCUUAAUAUCAAAAUUGAUGUUAUGUAUCUCUUUUGAGUUAAUGAAAACAACACUUUGUCAAAAUUAUAUGAUGCUUGUUUAAAAUUCUGUCAAAAUCACUUACUGCAUUAAUUGAAGGGGAGCUUUUAAGCUCUUCAAACUAGAUAUGACAAUCAAAAUUAAAAUCUAAAUUAAUAUGUUGUCAUCAUCAAAAAGGGGGAAAUUGUUGAAGCAAACUCUCAAAUUAAAGUUUGAUGAAAAUAAACAAAGGUUAGUUAAGAAUGUUAAUUAUGAUUCUAAAAUGUUAUGUUAAAUUAACUUGUGCUUUUGAGUGAAUUUAUUUAAAGAUAGAAAUCAUGCAAAGCAAAGAAGACAUCUCAAAACUGAAACAAGAUCAUUCUGGACAAAACGGAGAAUGAUCUCUAAGUUCAAGAUUGAUCGUCACAACAUCUUGACCAAUCAAUCUCCACUAUUUCAACAAAGCUUUUUCUCUGAAUCUUAUGCUAAUAUCAUCAGUACAUGGCAAUGAACAAAUAGGUUUCAUCUCAGUAGAAGAAUGUUCGAUCAACCUUGAUAUAUGCAAAGACAUUACAAAGACAUCCAGAAAGAUCAAAACAUGAACUCCAGAUUGAUCAUCAAUCUCUAGAAAGAUCAAAUUUCCAGAACCGGAUUGAUAAUCAAUCUUCGUGUUCUACAUAAAUCCAGCAGUGUUCUUCCUACUUUUGCAUUAAGUUAUAAUCAUUCUCCAAACUAUUUUGAACAGAUUUAAAGUUCCUGAUCAAGGCUGUAACAUCAAUAAUGAAGUAAGAAGCUUCAAAGGUCUUUAAACUAGAAGACAAACGAAUUAAGCAAGGUUGUAACAGACUCAGUCAAACAGAUUCAAAAUUAUUCAAAGGUUGGAUUAUAUUUAAUCUCAUAUAUUGGUUUUGGUCAAAUCUGACAAAGUACUACCAAUAGCUCUUUUGACCCUUAUUUGAUGCUCCUAAAACGCCUAUAAAAGGAAGGCCAAUAUCCAUGAUUAAACGAGAAAUUCAAGUGAUGUCAAUUCCCAUAAAUCAUUCACAUUCACAUACUUGACGUUCUCAUUUUCACAAAGAAGAAGCAGUUCUAAAUCCUUACAUUAUAUUGUGUUACUACUACUGAUUUCUUUGUAAAGAAUCGAAUCUCAAACAAGAGUUGAAACAUCUUAGAUUCUAUCAAAACAAUCUUAUCAUUAUUGUAAAACUCAAACUAUAAGAGUUUAAUUAUAGUUUGAUUAGAUUGUAACGAAUCCUAUCAAGAUAGAUAGGUAUCGUAUUUGCUUUCUGGGUGGAAAGGAAUAAGGCUUGAAACAGAUCAGGUUCGACCUGUGCUGAGUGCUGUAAAAUCAAGAAGGCUCUUUGUUUUAAACGCUUAGUGAAAAAUCUCACAGUUGUGAGGACUGGACGUAACCCAAGUUGGGUGAAUUAGGAUAUAUUGUUGCGUGGUAUCUCUUCCCUUAUCUAUUUACUUUCAGUUUGAUUGAUUAACAAGUUAAAAAACUUAAACAAAAUUGCUUAUUUUAACUAACCAAAAACGUUUUCCGUUUUCUGGUUAAAACCAAGAACGUUCUCCGUUUUUUGUUUUCACCACCAGGAUCAAUCUUGUGUUAUUUUCUUAAGUUUUUAACAGGAAUUUUUAAAAGGUGCAUUUACAAUUCAAACCUCCAUUUCUUCUAAGUCGACAUUGUUACUUCAAUAUUGUUGCAGAAAAUAUCGUACUUGUUGAGACUUGGGCUCUUCUCCAUAAUGUCAGGAUCACUCAGAGUAUAAACCUUUAAGGUUCUUUUUAGAUGUGACUCUAAACUGUUAAUUAAUAUGAUCAGAUGUAUUUCUCCUACUUCGUCGAAUCUCCACCAUCUCGUUAAAGAGGUCUACUCUAUUCUCCAUCUUUCUGAUUGAGGUACUUCUCUUUGCCAUGUGUUACAUGAAACUAACUAGCGAAUUGUCUGAAAGCAAUAUUUUCUAAUCAAGCCAUCUUGUUGUCCUUGAACUACUUGGAGGUCCUCAUAAAUCCAUACAAAGUUUUCUUCCUCAAUACUCUUUUUAAAAUGGAAAUUAUUAACUAAUUAAUAAUUUUAAAAAAAAUUAUACAUUUAUAAUGUAUUAAAAACAUACUCAAGUUGUCUAAACAAUAAAGCUUCAUAUAAAAUUUCAUACAUAAUUAAAUUUGGUUUAGUUCAUUUAUACCAAUAAUCUAUAAAUCAUUGAACAGACACGACACUAACACAUUAACAUCGAUAAUUAUUUGAGACAAUAAAUUAUUUAAAUACAAUAAUAUGUGUUCGUGUUAGACAACAUAUAUCGAAUAUCAAACACGACUUCAACUAAAAAUGCCAAUAUUACAUAACAUAUAAAUAUCAUUUUCUUUUAACCAACCAUUAAUAAAAUAAUUUUCAAGAUAAAAUCAAGGAAAUUUAUUUUAGAUGAAGAAGAAAAAUCCAUGUACGAACAAUAUAAAUGUUGUUUACAUAUAAAUGUUCAACUUUGUAAAAGUUUAGAAAUAACUUAAAUGAGAGUUUCACAUUUUGUUUCACACUUUUAAUAUAUUAUUUUGAAGAAAAAAAACGAAAACAAAAUUUCAACUAAUGGGAGAUGAUUAUUAGAAUUAUUAAUUUGGCAUUUGCUUUAGAUACAAUAAAUUUUUAAUUGUCAUAGGAUGGAAGUAUAAAGAGAAUGAAAAACGUCAAAUACUAUAUAAAUACUAUAUGAUAAAAGAACAAAUAGAGUAAUAAUUAUUUUACUAUAUAUCAUAGUGUAGAAGAAUAAAGAUAAUUAAAAAUGUUUAACUGCCAUAAAUAAAAACAUACAACAAAGUCAAUAUUGACUAAUAAAAAAUGAAAAAUAAUAGGGAUAAAUCAUCAAACUUUUGGAGAUCAUGUAUGACCAUAUAUAUUUACCCGGUAGCACAAAAAAUAAUGAAGAUGAGAGCAUAAUACACGUCCUUCCAUGUAGAAGAGGAAACAAAAUCUUUCCAAGCAAAGAUCAAAGCAUUUUGUUUCUUUGAUAUGAAUAUAGUGAAAGGAGAACCAAACACCCAACUAUUUGAAUUCCAUAGGAGGUUAAAAAAACAUAUUCUUGCACAGUCGAAUAGUGAGAAUUAAUCUUCAACUCAAAACUUGAGAUCAACAUCGAACACAUCUUUAUCUUAAAGAGUAGCAUUUUCAAACUUCUUUAAGGCCAUCACUUUAUUUGAUGCAAAACAAAAAAGAAGGUUGAAAUCUUGGAGAAAAAAAUCAAGCAAAGUAGAAACCACCACGGAUCAAAGAGAGAGUCAAGAGCUACAUAAAAAAUUAUCUCUGUCUCGUACCAAUAAAAAUGCAAGUGAUUUCCUUAGUAAAAAUGUGAUGAAUCUUAUUUGAUAUUGUGAAUAUUUGUGGUAACAAGAAGAUGAUGAAUAAAGGUAAAAAAAGAAAUUAGUUAGAACCAACUAGAAUUUUGAUAGAAAAUCUUCAAAAUUCAAUAGAAAAUAAAAAAUUAAGAAUGAAUCAAUUAAACUUCAACAAAAAAUUUCUAAAGAAAAUUUUGAAAAGUAAUUUUUCAGAAUAGUUAUUGUUUUGAUACUAUAUUGAGAAUCAUAAAUAUAUCCAAAAAAGAGAUAAAUAAUUAAAAAAAAUAUUAAACUUCAAAUAAUAGUGUGAAUAAUUAUUAUACUAAUAAUUAGUGUAAAAUACAUAUUUAUAUAACGCCCCAUAGUUACCUUCCAUCUAAUUAUAUCUAACAAAACAAUGUGAAAAAGUAAAACAGAGAGCCCUUGAAAUCUUAUCAUUUAGAUAUCUAGUUAUAUUGUUUCUAAACAUACAUAUAUAAAGAAAUGUGAUUCAACAUUUGUGUAAAGUUUUUUCCAUUGUUGUGCAUGGAAAUUAAACUCUAGAAAUAGUUCUUGAAACAAAUUUAAUUAAACUCUAGAAAUAAUUCUUAAAACAAAUUUAUUGUUCUUGUGACUAGUAUGGAUUUUGGACAAUACACGUGAUCUUAUUAUUUGAGUACCAAAAUUAACACUAAUUUUAUACUCGUAAUCUCUUGAAAAAAGAACAUAUGCACAUAAAACAUUUAAAAAUAAUUAUUACAAAAAGGGUUACAAAGAAUAUUUCAUUCACAAAAUUAGGUAUCCUUAAGAUACACUUUAAAAGUCAUACCUCUUUCAUUUUUUUCAACUCACACAAUAUUUGUUCCAACCCUGUUCCAACCCAAGUUCCAACAAUCCCCCAUUUAAAUUUAAAAAAAAAUCUAAAAUUGCGUCAAACGCUCUUAUAAAAUUGUGCAUAUACGUCUUUUUUGACAUCAAACUCAUACACAAUUUCGCCAACCGUAUACAAAACGUGUACUAAACUAUUUACAUUUGGGGUUAAACUUUCCUCAAAAUACCAUGUCUUCUAUCCUCUCCUAUUAAACUUUCCCCUUUUGGUUAAUGCAGGAAAACCAAAGCACGUACAUUUUUUCUGCCUGCUCAACUUUUUUGGUGCAUUUGAUGACAUACCUUGUGUCACAAUGGUGUUGAUAUUUUUCUCCCUUCUUGACUUAACUUUGUCAUCUGAAGACAUGUCUUGGACCAAAUCAAUGUUUAGUUGCUUGUUCUGGCAUGUUGCUCCGUCCAUUAUUGCAUUGCUUGCCUCGGUAGGUCUUGAAAUAUGUUGCUUUGAUAAAGUUGGAAUUACUUUGAUAGGAUUUAUUUCCUUUAAGUUAGGAUUUGUUCCUGUAUACCUGAACAAGGCAUGAUACAAAAAAUAAAAUCAAACACCAAUUAAAUAUAUAAUAUCAAUUAUCAACAACAAUAAAUACUACUUUUCAUAUUUACAAACAGUUGUAAAAUAUGUUCUUGUGUAGUUAGUUGCUAAUGAGAACGGAAUUAGCAAUCACAUUAACUUGUAUUUAUGGUAAAUACAUUAUAAAUACAGCCUUGCAUAGUCUCAUAAAACAAGUAAAUCAUCAAAUUAAUCCCUAAAAUUGUAAGAGUCGGUCAUUUUAGAUUUAGGAACAUUUUCUUCCGGUUAUCAAGGGUUGAAACUUAAACCCCUACCUAUUUUACAAAUAUUUUGUCACAAAUCAAAUUUUGAGGUAGAAACUAAUCCAAAAUUCAUUUCCCAUCAUUUUCUCACCGAAAUUCUUUCUUUUGAGUGAGUGUAAACUCAAUAAAAAGAAAAAUCAAAGUACCAAAAUGCACCAGUGAAGAAAAUCUAUGAUUUGAAAGGAAAACCAAUGUCAUUUUCUAAAGCUUGGGAACUCACAUAAGCAUAUUGCUUUUGGAGAUUAAAAAGGCAUUUGGUUGGUAUGAAUGAGGUAGAAGCUUAUAAACUUAAUUGGAAUGAAAAAGAAGAUAGGGAAUUUGGUUGGGAUGAAGAAGAAGAUUAGAGAUUGGUUUUGGAUGAGGAAGAAGAAGAUCCCAAAAAUUCAAUCCUUCAAUUUGGUCUCUAUGACAUGUCACAGAUGUAGCUGUAUAUGUGGAGUACCACAUAGGCACUAAACAUGCCAGCUCAUACAAUGUGGCAAAAGAAUUUACCGGAAAGACUAAAUUUAUUAAUGUUUUAGAAAUUCAAGGAUGUUUUUGUUAAUUUGUAAAUUUCAGAGACUAAAAUGACCGACCCUUGCAAUUUCAAGGACUAAUUUGAUGAUUUUCUUCUGACUAGAAAUUACAUAAUAUUUCAUGGUUUCAGUAGUAGUGCGAUCUUGCUGUCCAUUUUUUUUCCACAAACCAUAUGGAAGAGGGGUGAAAAUCUAAACUCAUAAUAACCUUUAGACAAUCGUAGAAUAAGUAACACAGUCACCUUAAGUUUCGGAUGCCAGAGUUAGUCUGAGGCGCUUCUUGUGAAGUUCCCUCCAGUAUAUCUUUAUUUGAUACCUCAUUUUUAUGACAAGGUUUAACAUUUUUUAUGGAAUAUGAAUCAACUCUACCAUAUCUUUUCAUGCAAGGUGACUCUUCAUUGGCAAAGCUAGAAGAGGCCAUCCUUGAAUUUAAUCGGUAUUCCCUAACCAUUGAAAUGGCCUUGUCUAAUGUUUCUAGAGCCUGUUCAACCUCCGAGCGGAUAAAUACACUCCUCUUGCCUUCUUGUACAUUUUCACCAACUUCGUCAUUCAGAAUGUCGUCUACUUUCUCAUCAUCGUCCACACUUUUCAUAUUCUCUUCCUUACCUAAUUCUACAAUCUCACCGAAAGCUUUCCUAUUUUCUAGUACUGUCGCAUUCAUUGCCGAUGACAUGACAUUAUUUGAAUGUUGAUUUCUUUGAUCCUGUAUAGAUACAUCUUUUCCCCCACCCAGCUUAGUUUCAAAAAGAUCUUCAGAAGGGUGAAUUCUUGCAACUUGCUGAAGCUCUCCGCUAUUCACAGCCUUUGAUUUACUAGUAGUAGUGCCGCUAUAUAGAGCCUUGCGAAUUCUAGCAUACAAUGGAUCCCCCAAGGCCUUGCUGAAUUCUUCAUUAUCACGGCUCAUCACAGAAGCCACAACCUAUAAUAUUAUAUGGGUUGGUUAAUGUUAAAAGAUGAUAGAAAAUAGUACCAAAUAGUAAUGUGACGAUGCAAAGAUGUUUCACAUUUAUAUGAGCAUGAUGAGAAGUGUCAAUGAAAUUGGCAGUUUUCACAAUCAUUAAUUGUGCAGAUUUGAUGAUACUUGUAAUUAUGUAAUUAUUCUCAUAAUUAAUUAGUUCAGCUGUAGAUUAGUCGUUAUAGUAAGACUUAAGGUUACGUAUCAUUCUGUAUCAACAUUAUUUAAAGGAGAAUUCUCCAAUGGAAAUGAUACAUUUUACCAAUUAGAAAUCAUGAGUUUAACAAGAAGAACAUUGUAAAUCAGUUGAAUCCACCUUUCAAACUAGCCUUUGCAAUUGAAAUAAGCUUAGUUCACAAAGUCAAAGUGAAAGUUGGUGAAAUAAUCAAAGAAUCCAUGUUAAUUAGCAUGAUGAAGUUAAACCUCAUAAGUAUAUGACUUUCAUUUAAAUAGCGUAAAAUGAAGUAUAUGAAAUAUAAGUUUAGCAUGAGGAGCACUAAUUCUAACUUAGAAAUGAAAAUUGGACUACUUAUCUGAAAAGUCUUAUGGUUUAAGAAUCUUGAGUUCAUCAUACAAAAUAACGGGGAGGUAGAGGAAGAAAUAAAUCACAAGAUUCAAAUGGGGUGGACGAAAUGGACGAUUGCUUCUGGAAUAACUUUUGAUCGAAAUGUGCAAUUCAAUCUUAAAGGAAAAUUUUACCGCAAAGUUAUAAGACCGACAAUGUUGUAUAAGACUAAAUGUUGAGUGGUAAAGAGCCAACAAGAAAGUAAGUUCAAUAUUGUAGCGAUGAGCAUUAUAUAACUGAUGAAUGGUCACACAAGACAAGAUUAGGAAUGAAAACAUUAAAUGAAAAUGAGAUUAACACCUAGCUUAGAAAAUAUGGAAUAUCUUGAUUUAGAUGGCCUAGGGAUGUAUGGAGAAAAUCUUUAGAAUCAUUGGAAGAAAACUAUAGGCUAAAGCAUUAACAAUUAUAUGAAAUUUAAUGAUUUGUCGUUAGACAUGAUUUAUGAUAAGGCAUUUUAACGUCGUUUAAUCUAUGGAGCUAACUUCACCUAGUGGGAAGUAACAAAAGGCUUUGGUUGUUUCUGUUGUUAAUGUGUUCUAAAAUUUUCCUUUUGAUGCUCUUAAUAUUUGGUUUGUAAGGUGAGGAAUGCCUCUAACUUAUCAACAUAUUUUCAAACGCAUCUGAUGUGAGACUCUAAACAAAUGCUUUGUUUAAGGAAAAUACCUUACCUUCUUUUCUUUGUAAUCUUUCUUUUCAUCUAACAAAAAAAACUAUUUUACUAAAAACAAGUAAUAGUAAUCUAAUGAUAAUAAUUAAAGAAUCGAUUAUAGAAUAUAGCAUAUUAACAAAAAAAUGUUGAAUGUCAAAGAAGUAUACAUGAAAAGAAUCUGUAACCUUCUGAUAAAGUCUGAAACCGUUGCUGAUGAGCUGCCUUGAAAUAAAGUUUAUCAUGGACGGAGGAACAAAAUCCAGCUUCACAUCCAUAUUUGUUAUUGUCCUACAAAACAUGAGUUAUUGAAUUAGGAUUGCAUAUAAAAAAUCCAUUUUGUUUGUGGUACCCUUUUCAUUUUUCACAGCAUGUUGAUUAGUUUGUUAUGAUUCUUAACAAAAGUGUCCACAUUAUGACAUUACACUACAUCUAUGUCAAGUAUAUUCCAUAACUCCAUUCAAGUAAAUUCUUUAUAUUCUUUGUUUUCUUUUUCCAGUACAUAAUUGUUAUGUUCGAGUACACCUAAAAGGCUAAAACUCACCGAAAGUAACUUCUUUCGGACGUCAACUUUUGCAAAGCAAAGCCUCCCACUAAAUCAACCCUCACGACAUCCUUUGCUUCCGGAAUCGCCUCAUUAUUUAAACCAGAAAGGGUCCCCACCAUGACACUCUUCAACUCAGGGACCUUAGAGCAAAAUUAAGCACAAAUUUCUCGAAAACUUCAUUCUAGUCUGUAAUCAACUUUCUCUAAAAUGAAAAAGCAAAGAAAGGUAAAGACGAUUACCGAAUUCGUAAGAACAACAAUUAAGUCAUCUUGAAAGUAUUCAAACAUAUAGUAGUGCACUACAGCUUCCCUCAAAGACAGAGGCCAUGAAACCUUCAUCCUUUCUUCCAAAAUUCAGAGCAAAGUCAUAAUUUAAAAAUUAAAACCUUGAAAAGUGGUAUUUUUAGUUAGUGCAGGCAGCACAAACCUCACUAGUGAUAUUUGUUCCCCAAUCUGGACCUUCUGUAAACAUUCAGAUGACAAGAUUUUGAAAGCAGGAAUAGUAGACUGAGGCCACCUACAUGAACAUUUUUAAAAGGGUGUUAGCUAGAAGUAUCAGUUACAUUUUUAUAGCGAUAAAAUUACUUCGUCUCAAAGGCAUUUCCAAGGUAUAAAAUAGCUUUCAGAACCACCAGAUAACAAAAACUGCAAAUCAAAUGUAUGCAUAAGUAUGAAGCACAACCAGUCAACCACUGACACCAAACACGGCACUAAUACUCUGAAACUGGUAAUGAUUUGAAAAGAUGAAUUUAUUGGAUAUGUAAUCACAUGUGUUGGUGUCGUGUCAGUGUCAAACACCGACACAUAUCAGACACCAGACACAUCUUCAAUAUGAAAUGUAGAUUCUACGUAGCAUAAGAAAACAUUUCUGGAAACUAUUAUUUUCUCAGCACCCCAAAAGACACCAAAAUAAAGCAGUUCUGUUUCUUUUUCAUCAAGGUUAAAACAUUGAACCUAAUACAGAAAACUAAAGGAACGUGUUACACAAAAUAAUUCUCACCAUUUUUGGUAAAGGGAGGUCUGCCAUGAGAUACAUAAACCUGUAAUGAUGAAAAUAACUAUUUCAACUUUGCAAGUUGACAUCAAUAAUAUGGUGUUUGUAGUUUUGUCAUUAAAAAGGCUGAUGCUAAAAGUUUUCAUUGUUUCACAGAGUGACUUACAAACAUCAACAGGUCCAUCUACAAAGCCUUCCACUAGCAGCGUAUGAAAGGGAGUUCCCUCCGGUCCUUCACGAUACAUAACACGGAAUUCUUCGCUAUCCUGUUUUAACUAUUUUGGAAGAAGUAAAGUUAUCAACUAUGAAUCCAUACUUUCAUCACCAAAAAUCAAGUAUCUUCAUCCUAAAGCUUUAACAGAAUCAGGUUACAGAAGUCACAUGAAGUUGCUUUAGUCCAUUUGAAUUUUAAACAUAGAGCAGUGUUCGACCAGUGUUCUUAAUUGCGGAUCAUGGAAAAUAGUGGUUUGUUCCAAUUCUGCUAUGUUAUAAUCUUAUAGUGCCGCAGUAGCAGUUAUUUGACAACAUUUUGGACUCAAUAGCAUAUUGCAAAUUCCGCUAUGCUAUAGCGCAAUAGCGCCUAUUUGACAAAACUGUGUUCGACAUAAAUCAAAGAGCCAACGAGGUACAUCAAUUGAAAACUCCUGAUUUCUAUGAAAGAAAGUUACCAAUUAGACAUUCAAAACAAAAUGGUUCAGGAUCUAACUGAUUAGAAGAUCACAUAUAUAAGAAAAAAAACAGUUUAUCUAAAAAACAAAACAUUGUAAAACUGCAGAUUCCAGAGGGUGGAGAUCAUACUUUCCAAUCAGUGUGUGAUGCAUUAGACCUUCCAUGAUCAUCUGAAGCACUCCUCAACAUAUCAAGAAAGUUAGAUAUCUCUGCAGUCUUAUGUUCUACUAAUUUCUCCUUAUAUCCUGUACAAAACCAAACAUACAAUUACAAAAACAAAGAACACAAAGCUAAGCAACUUAAAUAACUGUUCCACUGAGCUAAUACCGGUUCUUCAUAAAUGAUUUCAAAAGAAAGAGUAAAUAAUCAUUUUGGUCCGUGAACGUAUGAGACAUUAUCACUAUAGUCCACGAAUGUAUCAAAACUACAAAAACAUCCCAAAAUGUGUAUUUUGUUGGUCAAUAUGGUCUUAGAACGUGUAUUUCGAGUUGGUUCAGUCAUCGAAUAUGUCUUCUGUUCCAUAAAUUACUAACAGAAGACAACUCGGGAACAUUUUGCAAUUUUGAUACCUUUAGAUAGUGUAAUGACAACACCUCACACAUUUAGACACCAAAUUAACUAUGAGAAUAAUUUUGAUGCACUGACCGUAUAAAAAAAAUUUACACUUUCUACCAAUCACAAACCAUCAUUUGUAUGACUUUUAAGUUAGAUAUAAUAAAAGUCAAACUGUUUUAAAGAUCGAAUGAUUAUGAUUUUCUGACCGUGUAAAAAAUAUUUACACCAUAAGUGCAUAUGAAUUAAAUCCAUUAACUAUUUACUCGAAAAGAAAUUAAAGAAUGUUAUCACCUUCAUCUUCUAGUUCUGGUGAAGGUAGGAGUUGACUUUUGACAAGCUUUUUGAGUAUCUCAACAUUUGUAAGAUCAGGUGAGGCAAGGGUCCUAUCCAGCUUCUCCCUAUACUGAACAAUCUUUUGUUUCUUCUCCAUCUUUGCAUUUCUUUUGAAAAAAAGGAAUACGCCUUUUCUCAAAAAGUCAUAUCAGGCAUAAGUACCAAUGGUUCAUAGGAUUCCCAAACUCAUCCUAAAUUUACCACAAUACCAAUCCAAUUAAACAAGGUUAACCAUUCAAACAUAAUUCUAUUCUCAUCGCAUCAAUCAUGCUUGAUAAAAUACAAAAAAUUGUUUGUGUUUAAUUGAUCAGAAAAGUCCAUGAAGUGUCAGCUCAGUGGUAAAAGUUUCACCUCAAGAGACGAGUUCAAAAUCCCUCCGGUUGUACAUUGACAAUUUCAUUUUUGUUUUUUAACCCUCCAGUUCUCAAGAGAAUGGGACCUAGUAAUUUGAAAAUUUGACCGGGAGGAAAGCAAAGUCUGACCAAAAUUUGUUCCUACCGAGAGGCAAGUAGUGUCACUUUAAUUAAUAAUAAUACCUCAUCCCCUAAUUGUUUCAAAAAAUGGCCACAAAAGGUUUGCCUCUAUUAGAAUAAGCAAUUGCAGUUCUUGGUAAAUUCACCUUCAUACGUAUAAAUAUCAAAAAACCAAAAUGAAAGAAAAGCCAUUAAACAUUCACAAUAACAUAACCAUUUGAAUUACAGCCAUUGCACCAAUAAAAAUGAGAAAGUGAAAACAAAAACAAAAAUCUAGUGUUGAAGUUAAUAAUAUACACAACAUGCAGAAACUGAAGGAGCUGAAAGAAAUAAAAUGGAAUAACAAAAGAUGAAAAAUCUUACUAUGGAAUAGUGAUUUUGAAUGUUUUGAAGAGAAGAAGGUAGAAUCAAGAAAAGGAAGAUCUGAAACGGUGAUAAAAUAAUAAAACUGGAGAGAGAUUCAUUCAGGUGAUGUAACCAAAAACCAAUCUACUCUUCAAUGGACCCAACUAAAGUCACACGCUCAACUACUGUGAUGGAACGACAGAAAAUGAAAAAAGAGAAAGAAAAAAAAAUUAUAUAUAUAUAGUUUUGAAAUAAGUUAUUAUUUACUCUUGUCAAAAAAGUAAAUUAGUAUUCACAUGAAAAUGUGAAUUUAAAAAAAUAAAUAAAUAAAAAAUAAAAAGAAUAUUUUUUAGUCAAAAAGAGGAUAAAGGUGAGCAAAAUAUAUAUUUUUCUUUGAUAUUUUUUUGUAUGAAAAUAUUUUUUUAGGGAAAUAAAGCUAUAUUAUUAACUAGAAGAAGAAAAUGAAAUUAAUCUUUUACAACCAAUACACAAAAUAUGAGUACAUCACUUUUAAGACAUUCGGAGGGGUAGCCGAUACAACUCUGGUCAUGUUGAUAAAAGAUUUAGAAUCACUUUUAAAGAUGAUAUUUUUUUAAGUCCAUAUUUCGAACCACUUGAACACUAUGAAGAAGAGUCCAAGCUUCAGCGAAAAGAACAGUCAUGCGUCUAGGUUGUCAUAGUAACCAAAUCAAUAGUUUUCAUUCUCAUUGCGAAUGAGCCUUCUUAAGAAGGAAUUUCGGAAUAUUCAUAUGGGGUGUUUUCCAAGUAGGCUAAAUACUAGUAUUCUUGUGUUCCCAAAACCCAGAGGGUUUACUAGUCUCUUUAACAAGCAAAUGAACAUAAUGUUGAAUUUUAAUCCAGAAAUUCGUGUACAAGUCAGAGGAGUUUGAAAACACAAGUACAUUUAUAUCCUUCCAAAGCCUCCAAACGAUGACUCCAAAUCAGGUAGGUCACAAUCAAGGAACACAACCAAUAUUAUCAGUAGAUAAAUUCCACUUCAACCAAGCAUGCAUACCCAAGCUGAAGAAACAACUCCAUUGAGAUGAAUUUAUGAUGAUAUUCAAAACUUCGGACACCGGCUUACAGUCACAUAGUAUAUGCAUUAUGGAUUCAAGACGAUAAUUGCAAUGAGGACAGGUAUCAUCUGACGUCAUGUUGCGUCUCUUAUGCUCCAUAUUAGUCAAGAUGUUUCAAUGAGCUAGUUUUCAAAUGAAAGACUUGAUGUUAUUAGGACUAGGUCACUCCCAAGCUUUAAAGAACAUAAAAAUCAUGUUUGUUCUCAUUAUUCUCCACCUGGUUAACCCUAAUAUGUCAUAUGUUGACUUAAGAGAUAAUUGAACCUCAAUAGCAGGAACCCAAUUCGGGAAAUUUGCUUCUUCAUUCUUGAUAGGGGGUCGAGUAGCUUCAAUUUUGGAACAAAUAUCAUUCAAAAUGAGGCAUUCGAGCACAUCCACUUGCCAACUAUUAUUAUCUACAUAGAAUGACGUUGGGUACUCAGCUUGGCCUAUGGGGAUUUGACCUUGCACUGCUCAUGGAUGGGGCAAAAUCCAAUGAUGCAUUUGUCCAUCCAAAAUCUAGUAUCUUGAUCAUUACGCAUCGUCCAAGCUAUGUUGCAAUCCACCUCUGGCCAAGCUUGAGAGAUGGCUUGCCAAAUGUGAGAAGUGUUGUUGCGAGAAAUUAUCUUAUGCAUAACUUGAACACCACAUCCCAAUUUGGCUCGCAUCACUCUAACCCAAAGUUUAUCAAGACAUGCUACAAGUCGCCAUAGUUUUUGUUAAGAACUCUCAUGUUUUUGAAUCCAAUACCAUUUUCCUUCUUUUGAGAGGAUAGUAUGUCCCAUGAUAUCAUAUGGCAUGUGUGAUAUUCCUCAGUGCUUCCCCAAAUAAAAUUUCAACAUAUCUUAUUAGCUUGGUCACAUAUGGAAUUCGAACUCAAAGAGGUUUGCAUCGUAUAUCCCAGGAUGUUGAAGGUGCAAAAAUAUAAGAAAGGGGUUUAAUUGUGUUUUGCCUUAUUAAAAAUAUUUUUUCAAAAUCCUGAUUUGGGAUAUUGAGAACAGAUAAAAAAUCAAAUGCAACAAUAAAACAAAGUAACAGGAAAGAGGGAGAAACAUUGAGAUUUAUAUCAGUUCACUACCAACGUGGCAUCUUCGUUUAGACCCCACACACCGAAGGAUUUAUCCAUUAAUUCAAACUUGAACUACAACACCUAAUCCUACAAGUUAGUCUUCUCAACUUCCAGCCUGAAACCUACAUACGAUUGAGACACUAUAAUACAUUGACCUUACAAGUCAACUCUUCUCAACUUCCAACUUGAAACCUACAAGUCAUUGGGGCAGAAUAACCACUACAAGGUUGGGUUACAAAAAGGGUGAAAUGGGGUUCUCUUUUGCUUCUUCUAAGAAAAUUGAUUACAAUUGAUUUCACACUAAAAUAGGGCACUAAACAUUAACUAAUAUAAAGUAGAACGAGUGCCUUUGCUAAAACUAAAACCUUGAAUUUUGAAUGCUUAGAGAAUUUUGAGUUGGUAAGGUUUUCUGAGUUGUUGUGUUGCGUAUUCUUCAAUAGAAUUAAUCCCUUCAUAUAACACGAAUUAAGGUUUCAAUAUUGCCCCCAACAAAUUUUAAGCGUAUCUUCCUUGUGCGAGGUCAACAAAGAUCUUCAAAAAAAGUAAAUCUUGAUAUAUAUUGUUUGAUAAUGUAAUCAUUGAAACUUGAUUAAUUCCAAAAUAAAUCUUCAACCAAAUCUUCUGAAUGAUUAUGUAAAAGAAUGUUCAGAUAGAACUUGAAGAUAAUUCUCCUUGAAUCUUCUUAUAGUAUCUUUCUUGUGUGGGGUCAACGGAGAUCUUCACAAAAAAAUGAACACUGAUAGAUAUGGUUUAGGAAUAUGACUGAUGAAACUUGAUUAAUUCCAAAACGAAUCUUCAACCAAAUCUUCUAGAACUAUUAUGUGUGAGAAUGUUCAGAUAGCGCUUGAAAAUAAUUCUCAUUGCAUAUUUGGAGCGUAUAUUUCUUGUGCGAGGUCAAUAGAACAACUCAGUCAUCAUCAAAAUGCGCAUCUUUUGUUCUUUGACCAUAAAAAUCGUGAAACAACUCAGUCAUCAUCAAAAUGCUCAUUUUAUUCAUCAGAACAUAACUUGAUCAUCAGAGUUAGAUAUUGUGUUGAUUGGUUCAGGUAGUCAGAGGCAGAACUACAUGACUUACAAUUAGUGGCAUGGACAACGUCACCUCGUUGCAUCUUCAAAGCAUGUUGUGUAUCAGAGGCAACAUCUUGGAGCAAGUUGCAGUCUUUAGAGGGAGUUGAACUUGAGCUUCAGAGGAAACUCGAAUAGAAGCUGCAGAGUUAUUGUAGUAGGUGCUUUAGAGACAUAAACUAUAGAGGCAUGCUAAACAAAGGCACGUUUCAGUCUUCGGAGGCAGACGCACAUAAGCUUUAGAGGCACACUGGGCAAACACUUUAGAGGCAAACCUUCAGAGGCAGAUGCACGCAUACAACAACAUGUGUAAUAACUAGAGGUUGAAAGUUGUGUUGACUUCCUUUGACUUCACCUCACUCUGAUGAUUUUGUUUCCUUUGAUGUCUUCAUUUCCUCAAACAUCUUCACUUUCCUUUGAUAUUGUUUCCUAGUUCUAUUUAUUGCACACUCAUUGAAAUCAUUAGUGCAAUAAAUUGUUCUCACAAAGUACCUUAUGUAAGAUAGGGAAGAUUGUGCAAGAGUAGUCCUACCGACAAAAGACAAGUUAGUAGUCUUCCAUCUAGUAAGUUUCUUUCUCAUAUGCUCUAGGAUAAAAGAGUAGUUUUUCUUUGAAAUCCUUUUUUGAAGAAGAGGGCCGCCUAAGUAAUUUCCAAGAUCAUUUGUAGCUUUGAUCUCCAAAGCAACACUCAUCUUAGUCACCUUUCUAUCCCAAUAUUCUUAAAAAAGAAUACUUUGGAUUUACUAAGGUUUAUUUUUUGGCCAGACUUCAUGCAAAAUUCUAAUAAGGUCUCACGCACAAGAUGAGUUUGCUCCAUAGAGGCUUCAACAAUUAAGACAACAUUAUCUAUAAAACAAACAUAGGAAAUUUUUGGAGCACUCCCAAGACCCAAGCUAAUAGGUUUCCAAACAUUUGAGCUAAUUAAGUAAAAAAUUAUAUGUCCCAAUAUUUCUAAGGCAAGCACAAAAAGAUAAGGCAAAAUCAUAUCUAUUUGUUUAAGUCCUCGGGACGAUACAAAAGAAUUUGUUUGGCCUUCAUUCCAAUUUAUGCGCAUGGAAGAAGAGGAGAUACAAGUUCCAUCAAGUUAUUCAGAGUUAGAGGAGGGUCUAGAAUUCGCAGAGUAUCAAAUAUAAAGUUCCACUCCAAUCUAUUGCAAGCCUUUUACAAAUCAAGCUUUAUUAUCAUAUAUCACAUUUUUCAUUCAUAUUAUUCAAAAGAUGGAUGCAUUCUUGAAACACUAUGAUAUUAUCCAUCGUAGAUCGCCCAAGAAUGAAACUGUUUGAGUAUAGUCUACCACAUAGGGGAGAAUGUUCCUUAAUAUUUGAGUUACCACCUUAGUGAGCACCUUGCAGGCCACAUUACACAAAUCAAUUAGGAUAAAAGUGAGAUAUCUUCGCAGGGUCUUCACACUUAGGAAUAAGAGUAAGGAAGGUUUGGUUCAUUGUCUCUAUAUUCAUAGGAUCAGUAAAGUACUCUAGGAUAAGUCUAUGGAGAGAGUCACCAACCAAAUCCCACUGACUUUUAAAGAAAAUAUGGUGGAGCCCAUCAGGACCUGGGGAUUUGAAACUCUUCAUACUAAAAAAUCACUCUUAGUUUCCUCCAAAGUCAUAUGCCUCGAUAAUCGAGCUUGAUCACUAAGCUUUAUCAUAAGGAAGAUAGUAGUUAUGUGAAAAGAGCACUCCAAGUUAAUGUUAGAAGAGUAAAGUGUACUGUACAAUGACAUGACAUGUUGUAACUGGUCCUCAUCAUCAUCUCACUCAUCAUUUUGAUCUUUAAGAGCGACAAUCCUAUUGCGUCUUUCGCGCUUCAAAGUUGACAUAUCAAACCAUUUACAAUUCCGGUUACCAAGAGUGAUCCACUUGUUGUGGGCUUGUUGGUACCAGUAAGCCUCUUCAUAGUGAACAAUAGUGGUGUACUAUUCCCAAAGUUUAUUCCUCAUAAUACUAUGUAUAUCAUUCAGGUUGGUUUGAAGAACUCGAUUAAUGCCUUUUAGUCUCAUAAGGAUCCGUUGUUUUCUUUUGAAAAUAUUUCCAAAGAAGUCUUUGUUGCAAAUCUUGAGGAUUUUUGUAGUACUCUUGAUGUUUUGACUCAAGUUAGCAUAUUCUUUCCAAGAAUUAAAAAUCUGGUUUUUGAAGUCAGGGUGAUCCAAACAAGCCUCAAUGAACUUAAUGUAGCUUGUACCAUUUCCUUCUAUAUGCAACUGAGUGCAAAACCACAAGGCACGAUGAUUUGACGAAGGGAUGUGAAAAUGCAUCACAUUACUAGUCAGGAAUAAUUCGCACCAACCUGCAUUACACAAAAAUAUGCCAGUCGCUCACUGAAUUGGCAUCUCGUCCAAGUGAAAGGAGAUUUUGAAAAACCAAGAUCCAUGAGUUGACAAUCAUUGAUGCAAUCAAAGAACAACCUCACACAAAGCUUGAUUAACAUGAACACCACCACGUUUUUCAUUUGAGGAGAUAAUAGAGUUGAAAUCACCUCCCACACUAGGGCCCCUGGUAAGAAGUAUGGAAGUUGCGAAGUUCCUCCCAAACUUCUUGCCUAAGGACAACUUGAGGGCUAGCAUAAACAAUAGAAAUAACCCAUGAAAAAGGAGUCCCACAAUUAACAUGAAGAUGAACACAAUACUUGAACGUUGCAAUAACAGAGAUCAGAGAACAAUUAAUCUUCAAAGGCACUAAAUACCUCCAUGUAUACCAAUUAUUCAAAUCACAUCUUUAGAGCAAGCACCACUAAUUUGGGUUUCGAGUAAAGCAUAAAAAUUAAUAUUGUAAAUCUUCAUACUAUCCUGAAUGAGAGUGGGAAAAUUUUGUGCUUCUGCUCCCCUACACUUCCAAAUCAAACAAUUCAUAAGGAUUUUGUGUGAUUUUUUUGGUGUAACAUCCUUAUGUCCUUUAAGGGUAGUUUCAGUCUUCACCUUAUUUUCUAGCUCCAUAUGAGUAGAUUUAGAUAAAUAUGUAGCCUCGAACAUGAGAAGUUUCAUGUUUCUUAAUUUAGCUAUAAAAGCUAAAGUUUCUGCAUCAAGUUGCACCACAUGACAAUCCAUCGAGAAAACCCCAAGUGCAGUUAUAUUAGUAGGACUUUGGCAUUCAAGAAUAUUCUUUUGUUCUAACAUAUUCAAUGCAUCUUUCUUUUUUGCUAAAAAGACCUCAACCUGCGAAGAGGAUGAUAAAGCCUUCCAAUUAUUUUGAUUUAAGGUAUCAUUCUUUUUCAUGUUUAUGUUAUGUUUUAUUUUGAUGUCCUUCUUAUUUAUGUCAUUAUGAGAAUUUUUACCACCUUGACUAUUUCGAAUUCAAUGCGUAUUCUCUUAGUGAAUCACGACAAUUUUUGGUGGGUCCAUUUCAAAGUUAGUAGCCUUAUCAUUAUUAUUUGUCUUCUUCCAAAUUAGGUGUUGAAGUGACGAAACAUGUUCCAACCUUUGCCACAUCUUGCUUGGGUCGAUUAGUCUCCAUGUUACUACUUUUAGAAUAAUCCUUACUCAAAUUCACCCAUUUAACAUUUCUUUUGCGCUUCUAAAUGCAGUUUACAAUCAUCCAAGGCCCAAAGUCUAAUUCUUUUGUAUUUGUUGCAGCCUUAUCAGGUGUAAUCUCUACCUCAUUUUGAUGGGUUGGCAACUUGUCACCAAACUUGGUGUCAACCUUAGCAAGAAAUUUUUGGUUUACACCCGUUGCCGCUACACUAUUUGGAUUCACAAUCACCAAUGCCCGGUCCGAACCAGUCGUGCAACCGUUAGCUUUGUGUCCAUAUUUACCAUAUGUGAAACAUAUAGCAUGUAGACUCUCGUAUCCCAAUAUGAACUUAUAACCUCAUAUCAUAAUGAAAGACUAGAGGUUUUCCAAGAUCAAUCUUAACACAUAUACAUGCAUAUUUGCCUCGUGAGUCGAUAAAGAUUCAAUCUGUUAAUCUUCGACAUGGAUACAAUUAAUGUGAUAUAUUGCAGUUAAAAAUAAUAAAGAAAAAAUAUGAUGUAAAUAAAGAUAAUAUAACAAAAAAAACAUAUAGAUAGCUUUAAUGUUUAAUGGGUUAUAGAUUAAAAAAAUGUAAAAUAACUAUAAAUAAAAAUAAACAAUAAAAAAUAUGUAACUAAUUUUAACGAAUAAUUGACUUCAUAUAAAGAUGAUGUUGUGUAUAAUAAUCUUGAAAUGCCGUAAAAAAAUAUCAAAAUAAAAAGAUUUAAGAAAAGUUGGUCAAAUAAUUCUCACAUUACAACUAAAAUAAAUAUUGGAGAUAAAAUGUCCAAAAUAUGCUUUUCAAUCAUAAUCAAAACUAUUGUCCAAAUAUUACUAACGUAUGCUCCAAUUUUUAAAUGUUGUAAUAAUUUUUAAUCAAUUAUUUAUUAUUAAUCAAUUAUUAUUAUUUUUAACUAUUUAUUUUUUGUUUUUACAUUUUUUAUUAUAUAAUUCAAAAUAUUAUACAAUAAAAAAUGAAGUUGAAUAGUAACCAUCUCUUUAAUGCAACCAACCACCCUUUCAUUAAAAAAAAUUAAAAAAAAAAAACCAUUAUUAGCUAAAGGAGGGUAAUAUUUCACUAUAUGACUUUCUCUUUGUAUAAAAAAAAAAUCUCACAGUUAUGUAAAUUAAUUAUGAUAAUAUUUAUUAUUUUUUUAAACAUAAUAAAAAAAAUAUUUUGGUGGUCAAGUUGAAUAAGACCAGUUGAUUAGAAAAUUUAGAAAAAAAUUGUUAAAAAAACCUUCAUUAUACCCCAUUAUUUUUUAAAAAACUUGUGUCAAGUACUUAAAUAAAGAGAGAAUUUGAAUAUUUAACUCACUUAUAUGAAAAUAUUUUCACUUAGCUUUAAACAAUGCUGCCUUCUUCAAUUGUUGUAUUCCUGACUAACUUAAUUUGAUAUAUAAAAUUUAUUAAUUACUUUCUUUAAAAAAAACUCACAAUAGAAUAUAAUAAAUCCUUGGAAAAAAGACUAAUUCAAGGUCAUUAUGAAUCCUUGGAAAAAAGACAAUAAGAUAUGAAUUAUUUACAAGAAUAUUUGAUCAGUAUUUACCACAAGAAGAUAUGAAUUAUUUACAAGAAGAUUUGAUCAAGAUAUAUCAAUCUCUAGAAUUUACAAACUCAAUCUUAAAAAUAUACGAACAAUAUCAAUCUUAAAAAUAUACGAACAAUAUCAAUCUGAAAAAUUUACCAACUCAAUUUAACAAAAUAUGAACAAUAUCAAUAUGAAGAAUUUACAAAUUCAAUCUGAACAAAAUAUGAACAAUAUCAAUAUAAAAAAUUUACAAACUAAAUGUGAACAAAAUACGAACAUAAUCAAUCUAGCAGAGUUACUUAUAUUUGAUUUAGAAAUAAAGAAUUGACUAAAGAACAUAUUAUCAAAAAGUAUCAUGUUCAUAAUUAUUUUUGAAUAAUAUCAUUGUUGACCAAACUAGGAAUGAAUAUAUAAUUCAGAAUUAAACAAAUACUAAAUUAAAGCCAUGAUUUUAUCUAUAAAUAGAUACUCAAUGUUGAAGAAGGAGAUCAUUGAAAAAUCAUUAAAAAAAAGUAGAAGAACUCAUGCUCAAAAUUCCAAAUUCAUCUUAGAGUUCAAAGGGAGAAACACUUGUUUGAAUGAGAAAUAUUUUCAAAGCGUUUUUCUUAGAGUGUGAUAGUCAUUGUUAUAAUCAGCUUGUUAGAAGCAACUAUUCAAGUUCCAAACCUUUACAUUCAAAUUCGUUAGUGGUGUUAGUGUGUCUUCAACAAUAUGAGAUUGUUAGAUUGUGUUGAGAAGAUUUGGCUGGUAUAGUCAAGGUGUGUGUGUUCCUCAAAAUUAUGGAGUUGUCAUGUUGUUUGAGAAUACUGGCUUGGAGGGUGAGAUACUCUGUAAUUCAAGUUUUUGAAUUAGUUGAUUAAAUCUUAUGAGUGAAGGGACUGGAUGUAGCCAAGUUAGUGGUGAGUAAAGAUAAAUCACUUGUGUCACUUUAUUCAUGCACUCCUUACUUUUGUUAUUGCUUCUACUCUAAGUAAAUCAUCAAGUCUGAAUCUGUUUAAUCAAAUAAUGAAAAUAGUUAUAAACUUAGUCAAACACAAUUCAACCAUCAUUUUCGUGUUUGCACCUUCAAGAAAUAGUGAAACACACUAUCUUCAUUAGUUUUUUUUUUAUAAAUAAAAUAAAGACACAAAUAAAAAAGUAAGUUCAUAAGUUCAUGAGACCAGAUUAAAAGUAAAGAUAGAUAGUAAACAGAGAGACGGAGAGAUGAUGGAGGGUAGAAAAAGAGAUGAGAAAGAUGUGAGAGAGAGAGAGAGAGAGAGAGAGUGAAAUGCGUUAUUUUUAUUAUGUAGUGUUGUUUAAAAAUUCAUUUUGGUGUUUUAUAAUAGAUUUUAAGGACUUUUUAUGGUAAUUUAAGGUUAUUUAUGAUUAGCAAAACUCUAGACUAAUUUUCUAAAGUCUUGAAAAUAUUAUUGAUGUUCAGAUCUAUCAACUGUGUUCUUGUCUAUUUCUCUAAAAUUUGUUGGAAAACAAACUUAGUUGAUUCUUCAUAGCUAUGAGUAGAUGACGAUAAUUAUCACAUAUUUUUAUUAUUACUAUAUUAUUAUUUUACGGAUUUUAAAUCUUAAAAUAUUUAUUUAGGAAAAAAAUGGGGAAACAAACAUUUCAAAUUUUUCCUUCUCAUCAUUUGUCUACUAUCACACUUUUUGUUAUAUAAUAGGUUUCUAAUUUGACUUAUUUAUUAUAUAUACAUUUUGAAACGAUGUACAUUUGAAUAUAUAUUUUUCAUAAGUUGCGAUGAUUAUGAUUAUGAAAUGUGUGUUUUAGAAAUCAUUGUUAUAAUUAUGUAAUCAUUAGUGGGGAAGGUGCACCUAUUUAUAUAAUUUUGAUUAGAGAGAGUUACUUGUUAGACAAAGGCGCCUCUAUGGAAAAGAUCACCCUUAGGACGAGGAGGGAAAGACUGUCAACGAGAGGUAAACUCCUUAAUCGAUACAAUGUGUACAUAUGCAUGAAUUGAGAGAAAAAUACUAUCCGUUAAAUGGAACCGCCUUUAAAGGAAAAGUCUCUCAUAAGAGGAAAUAGCUAUCAAUGAGAUGAAGUUUUCUCUUGAUUCCUUAAAAUAUAUUUUUAACAUGUUAGAUUUUCUAUGAUUCUUUUAAUGUUGCUCACUUUGAUUUUUAUCACUUUAAUGAAUUGAAUUUUAAAUAUUCUUACUUGAUCAAAUAAAUUUACAAGCUUGUUGAUUUUUCAUGGAUCUAUUUUAUUGAGAAUUAUCAAUAUUUAAUGUAGUACCAUUUCAGCAUAAAUGGCACAAAAAUUGUGACAGCUAUUUGUGUAUCUGUGUUUCCUUGCUAAUAUCGGCUUUGUCACAUUUGUUGUCAUUUUGUGUUUUAUGCUAUUAACCUAAAUGUUGUGAGUUUGUUCACAUAUCCAUUUUUUUUUAGUAACUUUGAAUUGUAUUGUUCUCGAUUGUUUUAAUUUGUACCAAUUUGAAUAAAUAAAUAUCGUGUGUUAGUUAAAAAAAAUAUCCAAAUUUAAAAAAAAAAAUAUUAUAUAAGAGUUUAAUUUAUAUAUUGACAGUCAACAUGAGUCGUUUAUUGUGUUGUUAUUUUUAUUAUUACAGUUACAAUCGCGUGAUUAUAGUUUAAAAUCAAUGAUUCAUAAUAUGGUUAAAUAUGAUUUUAGUUGAAGUAACAAUGUCAAUUAUAAGGAAGUGGGGUUUGAAUUAUAAUUGCACCUUUUAAAUUUUUCUGUUAAAAACUUAAGUGUUUAACUCAAGAUUGAUCUUGGUUACAAACGAAGAACGUUCUUUAUUUAUUACAAAGUUCUAUCUUUCUACCUAGAAAGGAUUUCCACAGGUUACCUUACACAAUUUUAGAAAGGAUUUUACAAGCUACCUUUUAAAUCAUAAAAUGAUUUUUACACACUAUUUAAGUUAUGUUAGCAAUAUAGUCUUGAGUUACAAAGUAAUGAUUUUUGAGAUUGUUAGAAUAUGAGUAUGCUCAAAUCUUGUUUGAGAAUAGAUUCAAGAUUUUAGAACUCAAUAAGUAUUGAUUCUAAUAUCACAUUAAGGACAUAACUGAAACUUAGAAUGAUUGAAAAACCCGAGUUAAUUGAAUAAGUGAUGUUUUGCUUGACACUUUUUGUUCUUCUUGGUUCUUAAUCGUGAAGCUUUAUUUAUAGACUUCAAGAGAGCUUAUGACACCUCAUUUAGCCGUUGGAAAUAGUCCAGAUGUCAUGAGCAAGUGAAUGAACAAGAUCAACCAUAAAGCAAUAACGUUCUUGUUGAAACCAGGAAUGUUCUUGUGAUCCAAGAACGUUCUUCGAAUUUGUCUUUUGAGAUGAGAUGACUUAUGUUCUGAUCUUGACAGUUGUCUGAAGUGAUUCCAUGCCUUGAAUCACGUGUGUAGGUCUGUUUGAAGUAUAACAAAAAUGUCUUUUCUAGUCUGUCAGUUUGUACUUGCAUUUGCUUAACUUGGAGAAUGAUCUUGCUUUAUGUAUUUUGUGAAGCAAAGUGUUUUGCCUUCGAAUUUUGGAGUAAUUCUUACUUAGAUUGAUCCUUGUAUGUUUUUGAUGAAGAUAUGAAAUGGAUUACACUUCCUGGAUCUAAUCUUUCACAUAAAAAUCUGAUCAUUCUUGUUUAUGGCAGAUGUGGAGAACGUUAUUCGUUUUCCAGAAAUCUGUCAAGAACAUUCUUUGUUUUACUGAUUUUGUUUUCUUUAUUUUAAUAAGAUCCGCUUUAUAAUGCUUGAUACUUAUCUUGUUUUAACACACUCAUAUACACAUGUUAAAUACCAACACACUUAGAAUCAUAAUUAGAAGUCUUAAUUAACCUUUUGUUUAAUUAUCAUUAAAACAUUAAUUUGGGAUUUUGUCUCAACAUUAGUCACUACAAAAUUUCAACCUUUCAAUUUUAAUUCAUAUAAAAUACAACUUUUAGUUCCUACAAAGUUAUCCAGUAAAAAAAUUUUAGUCACGGCUGAAACGAAGUAUGUUCGUUGUCCUUCAACUUUAAAAUUUUUGAAAGAUUUUUUACAAGCAUGUUAUGAACAUUAUAAUAAGUUCCUCCACAGAAAUUUAAAUUUUUGUUACUUAAGAUAAAUUAAAUAUGAAUUUUUCAAAUGUAAAGAAUCAAGCCAUUCGUAAUGAUAAUAUGGAGCUAUAAAUCAAAUUUUGAACUCAUUAUUUAAAUUGUUGCAAUCAUGCUCGCUAAAAUUUAUUUAAAAAUAAUGUAGACUUAACAAUAAAGACUAAAAAUUGUAUUUUUAUUUUUUAGGGAUUAAAAUUGAAAUGUUAAAAUUUUAUAAAUAAAGAUGACAAUAGGUAGAAUUUGAGUAAUACUAUAGUAAUUGUCCUAGUAAUCACACUCUUUAAAAAAAACUCGUAUCUAAAAUUGUAUUCAAGUGAGUAACAAUCUUAAUUUCAACACUAGUGCCUUUGGAUACCUAAAUAAUCACACUUAUACAUGUUACACUAGUUAAAAUUAAAAUAAAUUGUUCAGUAACAAAGUUUUUAAACUAAAGUAUUUUUAAAAACUUAUACACUUUUAUAUAUAUAUAUAUAUUAUAAGUUGACAUUUUUAUUUAUAUAUUUAACUUUUCUAUUGAUUGUUCAUGUAAAGUUCUAUUGGAAAAAAUAGUUAAUUAUUUGAUACAGACAGUAUUUUUCUCAACAAAUGGAUGAGUAAUUAACCUUUUAAAUAAAUAUAAAUAAAUACAAAAAAUAAAAAAGCUUUGCAGGAAUGAAAAGAGAAGAGGAGUGUAUCCAACCCAACCAAACAAGAGCUUUACUCACCACCUCUCCUCCUUCCUUCCUUCUCAUGUCUCUAACGCCGCUGUUUGUUUUUGCUUCUUUGUAAGUCCCAAUUACUUCUCUUCUCUUCUUUUCUUUUUCUUACUAUUCAUUCUUUUUAUUUUCCUCACCAUCCAAACACUCAAUUAGGGUUCGAUCAUUGCCCCAUUCAUCAAUGUCCAAAUUGAUCUUUUUUUUAAUUACACCUUGUCUAUAUUCCUCUAAAUAUUCCAACUUUUUAUAACCUAAAGUCAUCAAAACACUUUCAAUUUUAAUUAUUAUUAUUAAUUGAAAUUGAUUUCUAAGGAAAGGAAGGAAUUGGGGUUCAUGUAAUUCUGCAAUUGUAACAAUACUAUAUAACUGCAAGUUAUAAUUUCUCUCCUUUCUGAAUUUUCUCUAUUUCUAACAUUUAUGGAAUUCUUGAACCAGGACACUGAGUUAGGGUUAACGUCAUUGUGAUAUUGUGUUCCCAGUGUUGAGAUACCAAUCAAUUUGGAGUAAGCAUUGUUAAAAUUUGACUUAAUCGUAUAAAAUUGUAAUUCCAUUAUACAAAUUGGGGUUUGGAGUAUGCAGACACCCUUGGGAUCAGGCGUGUUGUCACCCUUACAUUAGCUGUGUGGACGUAAUUGUGUCUGUGUUGUAUCAGGUGUCUAUGUCGCAGUAACAAGAUUGUCAGAAUUUUUUUUUUCUUGCUAAUAAUUAAUUCUUGAGGCAAGUUGUAUGCUGUGACCUUGAAGAAGAUCUAACUCUCCUUCUUUUCUCCUCUUUAAAUCUUUCUGAUGAAAAAAAAGCCAAUUUUGGGGUUGAGCUUACUGUCAUUAGUAAGGCCAUUAAAUUUUUAACUACUGCGUUUAUCUAUGUACUAUGCGAAAGAAAUUACAUGUUACACAUGCAUACUAUAUCUUAUCCCUUUUAGUUAAACAAAAAAAGACUAACUAGAAAAUGAAUUGAGAUGUGGUAUGAAAACUUUGCUCUUUGGAGCUUACUUCUAUAAUAUCUGCAACAUAUUGUGUGUGUGAGAUAUUUUACAUUGUAUAUUCUUUGUUAAGUUGGAUUUUGUGUGUGGUCAGGUUGGCUAUAAGGUUGCUUAACUUGGUAUGCAUGUGACAGCAAGUUUGCUUUUUAGUUUGUUUGACAUUUGUACCAGCAAUGGAUCAAGUUGAGCAAGGUAGAUUUGGUUGUACUAGCAGCUGUGCACUAUAGUAUCCUAUGUACUUAUGUAACACCUACACCUCAAAUUGAAGGCAUGUAUGGUGUCCUGCACAUGUCAGUGUCCGACACCGACAAUGUGGUUACAUUUAAUUACUUCUAGUUUUUAAAAUUAUUGCCGGUCCAGUCUGGUGCCGAUAUCUUUGUCAGUGUUUCAUAGGUUCCUAAUAUAUCUGACAGUGUUUCCCUGGAAGUUUAUUUAUUGAUGUGUGUUUGUUUCUGUGUUUUGCCAUAGAUCAGGAAAAUAUCUCCAGACAUUUUAGAUACUAAUUUAUUUGAGUUACAGGUAAUGAAAUGGCGGAUGAUGCAUUGAUUAAUUUGGACAACUCAAGGGCGAAUUGGACUCCAUCUCAAGACCAAUAUUUUCUUGAGCUUAUGCUGUCCCAUGUUCACAGAGGCAACAGAACUGGAAAAGUGUUUACCAGAUUAGCCUGGGCAGACAUGACCGAACAAUUCAACAACAAAUUUGGGUUCAAGUUUGAUGUCGAUGUGUUGAAGAACCGUUACAAACGAUUCAAGAAGCUAUACUAUGAAAUAAAAACGAUUGUUAGUCAAAAUGGAUUCAAGUGGGAUGGGACACUAAACAUGAUCACAGCUGAUGAUAAAACAUGGGAAGAGUAUAUUAAGGUCCAUAUUAUUGUCGUCAAAUAUUUCAAAAGCACAAAUGAAUCUUUCGAUUACAAUUAGCAUGUUUUUGUGCGUGCAGGUCCACCCUGAUGCCAAAGCUUUCAAAAAGAAAGUUGUUCCAUGUUAUAAUGAUCUAUGCAUAAUCUAUGGCCAUGCAGUUGCUGAUGGGAGAUACAGCCUUUCAUGUUUUGACGAAGGUUUUGAAUAUGAAGGUAAAAUCAAUUGCAUUGUUCAUUAAAUUACUACUUUCGUCCCUAAAUAUAAGACUCAAUUGACUAAAUCAUGAGAAUUAAGAAAGUUGGUAGUAGUAUUAAAUUUAUUGACCUUUGUUAUUGUUUUACAAGUUUACCCUUCAUGAGAAAGAAUUAGCUUAUGUUUUCAUGAGAGCAUUUACUAGAAUUGCAGAAAAAGAUGUAACAUAAUUAAGACUUAAGAAUAUGUUGGCAAAGAAAUAAUUAAUGCAAUUGAAAAUUUGAAAUGGAUCUUACAAAAAGGAACAAAGAAAAAUCUCAAGAGGGUCCUAUAUUUAGAGACGAAGGUAGUAUUGUAUAGCGAAAC